rnacentral:lncRNA from 1 species
AUCUACAGUUUGAGCUCUUCAAGGAACCCCACGCCAAGAGGUUCCAAUUUCAACAACUCCGAUUUUUACUCCAUGAUGGGUGUUCAAGGAUUUCCUGCAAGACACUCCAAUUUCGGUCCAGCUGAUUUAUACUCUGUUCAAUCCUCUAGAGGACCUACUCCAAGGCCAUCCAAUUUUGAAGAAAACAAUACAGUAAUGUCUCCACGAUUCGGAUUUUAUCCAGCACAGACUGUUCCUUCAUCCUACCCUGCUCCAAACCCUGAAUUCUCAUCCGUCACGAAGAACGCUAAAGCUACCCAACAACAACAGCAGCAGCCUAGGGAGAAGGAGAAUAAUAAAGAGAAUCAUGAUGCCAAGGAAUUGCACAUGUUUGUGUGGAGUUCAAGUGCUUCGCCGGUUUCAGAAGGCGGAGGUCUCCAUGUCUUUGGUGGUACAGAUUUCGGAGCGUCCGAACAAUCUGGACGGUCUGAGCAGGGUGCUAAAGAGAUAAGGAUGUUGGUCGCAGAUCACCCUCAAAACGGGGAAAACAAAGGUACAAUAAAUUUAUAAGUAAACUAGAUUAUUCUGCUCGGUUAGGAGUUACUGGAAUUUUUUAAUAAUAGAUCGUAGCUUGUGAAGGCAUGGCAGGCAGUGGUGACGUUCAUGGAGAGGACUUCAGCUUUGCUGGAAGAGAUGGGGAAGAAGAGAGAGAAAAGGAAGGACCCAAUGGUCUCAAUAAGUUGGGGUCUAGUUCAACGGCCGAGUUGCACCCUAAAGCCGCCGGAGGGCCGGAGUCUGGCGUAGGCAAACAAAUGCCGCCGGCAAGUGUAAUGACGCGCUUAAUCUUGAUCAUGGUCUGGCGCAAGCUUAUCCGAAACCCCAAUACAUAUUCCAGUCUCAUCGGGCUGGUUUGGUCCCUAAUUGCUUUCAGGUCAGCUCAUUAUUUGAUUUUAAGGUUCAAACAUUAUUCAACAAAUCCUUUUUUUUUUAACUUUUUAAUUGGGUAUUUUCAUAUGUAAUGAAUUUACUGGUUUUGGGGGACUUAAAUUAAUGCAGGUGGCAUGUGAGUAUGCCGAAAAUAAUAGAGAAGUCUAUCUCCAUCCUGUCAGAUGCUGGACUAGGAAUGGCCAUGUUUAGCUUAGGUGAGCAUUUCCGUUAUUUGCUUUAUCUUCAACUAAUAAUAUUUGGAAAAGAAAGAAAAAGGAAAGUUUAUCUGCCUUGACCUAAAUAAAAUUUCAUAGACCAACUCGGUAACAAUUACACACUACACCACUAUUUGGUGCACUCAACACUAUGUUUAACUAUUUAUGAUACUUUCGCCGAAUUCAGGCAAUCCCAUGGGAACAAAAAUCCAUGUAAUGGGAAACCAUGGACCAUUUAAAAAAAAAAAAGUUUGACAUUGAAAGAAAUCUUUGGACACUUAAAUGGGAUUUAACCUCCCGACAUGUGGGGUCUUGUUUGCGAUGUUAGUAAGCGGUCCAGGGUCGGUGGGCAUUGGUUGUGAUAGACGCCAAUUAGGCCACCAGUUAGUGAAGGUAGGUGAUUGAUAGAUUAGGGACACAUAGUUUCCUAUGGAAAGUCGUAACUUUUGGUGCUAUAUGGUGAAAAAGGUCUGUUUAUGGCACUGCAACCCAAGAUCAUCGCUUGUGGGAACUCUGUAGCUACAUUUGCCAUGGCCGUUAGGUUCUUAACUGGUCCGGCUGUCAUGGCUGCCGCUUCGAUUGCAGUAGGGUUGCGCGGCACACUCCUCCGUGUCGCCAUCGUUCAGGUAAAGAAAAAUCCUCACCCUCCUCGUAAGCUUUGACUUUUAAGGAUUGUUAGUCAGCGAAAUUUUGUUUCAAAUUCAACAGGCGGCUCUGCCACAAGGAAUUGUACCAUUUGUGUUCGCCAAGGAAUACAAUGUCCACCCUGCGAUUCUUAGCACUGCGUAAGUAAACAAACCUGGAUAUAUUCAAACAUAGUAUAUAUAGCUGUUAACUACUACAUAUAUAUAUAUAUAUAGCUGACGGUUUGAUUUGUAAAUAUUUUUCAGGGUUAUCUUUGGGAUGUUGAUAGCAUUACCAAUAACGCUGGUGUACUAUAUUCUUCUAGGAUUGUGAGGGUACUUUCAUAGUAAGCCAGAGAUAUGAACGGGAGUUUUCCAGGGGUUGAUAGAAUUGAUCAAAACCGGAUUAUGUUGUUAAUUAACACGAGGAUAUUCCGGGAAAGAAGAUUUUAGUACAAGAAAAAGAAAUUGUCACAAGGGUUCCAAAACCAUUGGAGCUAACCUAGCUAAAGGUAUUUGACUUAGUAAUGUGUCCUCCCUGAUUUAAGGGAUCAUGCCUCCAUGAGAAGCCAAGUUUAUCCAAUUUCCUAGAGUAAUUUUGAGGAGAAGAAAAGAAGGCCAAUCCUGCAUAAGGGAGACAAUGAAGAGGAAAAUGGGGGCAAACAAAGCUGGUUACUUCAUAUUAAUUAAUUCACUUUUAAUCUCCCUUAUGCUUUUAUUGUAAAGUUUGAUUUCAUUCUAAUGAAAGCUGCCAAGGGUUUUCCUUUUUUUUCUCCUUUCUUUUUCAAAUGCUACUGGUACUUUUACAAUUUUUUUAAUACAAGAAUGUAAUCUGAUUUGUUGGCUUUGAUUGGCAAUUAUUGGCGUAAAUCAUCCUGGGUUAUUUUUUCUGUCUUACUUAGGAGAUUUAUUUAUGAUUUUAAAUAAUAAUAAUAAGAAGAAAAAGGUGUUUUAUUGCUGAUUUGGUAAUUCAGGUUUAACUAGGUGGGCAGGAAACAUGUGGUAAUGUCCUCGUGUGCGUGGCCUGAUUCAACAGCAAACAAUGGGGCCAUAGGUUAUCGAGGGUCAUCAAGAAUUAAGCAAGCAAAAUACCCAACACAAAUUGACUCCACCCUUCCCCCAAUAAUUCACCCAAAAGUUAUUCAGGUGACAGUAUUUGGUAUAAAUGUGAAAUAGCCACCUCCUGUUUUCCGAUAAGAUUAUAAUAUACAUUCAUAUAUUUGACAUUGAUGAAUUAAAUUAUAGAGAAGUGGGGAUAGUAGGAGCAGCGAGCAAUUAAGACAUGGCUCCGACGGGAAUGAAUACAAGCCAACAAAGACUAAUCAAGACAUUUGAGAGGGAGAGCGUGAUGGUCGAUGUCUGCUGAACCACGGACAUGAGCCAGGUGAGAUGGGCCCAAGCCCAACCGAGGGACCAGGGACCAGGGACCAGGGACCAUUUGAGCGAUUAAUUAUACUUUUGAUUUUGAAAAAGACAUUGCCCAUGGGGGACCAUGGGGGAAUAAAUAAAUAAAAGGUUGUUUUUAUUUUGGGUUAAAUACCAAUUCCCCUUCAACUAUACCUCAUCAAACAAUGUGAUACUUACGAAAUUUUUAUUAUCAAUUUGAUACCUAUAGUAUUUCACUGUAAAAUAAAUCACCCCAUUCCGUUAUAGAAUGAUGAUGUAGCAUAGUAACCACUCACACAACAUGACACUUAAUAUUUUAUAAAAAUGAAAUAAAUAUAAAAUUUCUAUUAAAAUUUAUAUAAUAUCGCAAAUUUUUUUGUAAAUUUGAACUUUUUCUUUCUUUUCCCUCGUCGAAGAGAUCUUCUCAUUAUUCUCCAUCAUCACACAACAACACCACUAAAAUUCUUUGCAAAAAUCUUGCUUUUUGAAACACAUUUUUACAAAAAAAAAAAAAAAGAAGUAAAAAUCUUACCAAAGUUUCAUCGUUAAAGAGCACCACCAGAAUUCAAAAUUCUUACCUAGGUUCCAUCGUCAAAGAGAUUCUCUACCAUUUUUUUAAAUUCCUUACUUGGGUUAUGAUAAAAUUUCAUUUUUUUCUUUAAGUAGGUAUUGAAUUUCUAGAAUUUCUCUAGGUUUUGCUAUUGCUUUUGUUAGCUUUGAUGUGCCAAAUUUUUAAUAUGAAAUUUUAUAAAUUAUAUUUUCUACAUCAUUUAAUGAAAAUAUAGUUAAAAAUUUUAUCAAGCAUUUUCAAGGAGUUAUAAACUACUCAAAAUUUACUUCAAAUGCGUUUUAACUUACCAAUGUUUUUCUUUAAGUAUUUAAAAUUGAUUUUAUGCAAGUUUGGAACUAGGUUCUAUACAUAUCCAAAUGUUUCGAAAAACAGAAAUUCAAUGAGAAUUUUUGGGCAACCAAGCUUUUUAGAACCUAUAAGUAGAGGUAUCAAAUCCCAACCAAGAGGUAUCGAAACAUAUCUCUAGGUUUCGAUACAUAAGAGUCCAACAACCAUAAUUUUAAAUCAAGUAAUUGACACCCAAAAUUUAGGUAUCGAAACAUGCUAUUCUGUAACUGCAAUUAAUAUUCUAAAUGGCUCCAUAUUAUCCCAAACAACUAUAAACGAUUGCAAAUCAUUUCCUAGAUAUAAAUACCCAUCAAUAACAUUUCAAGAAAAAAAGAAACCAAUAUCCAAGCAUCAAAAUCAAGAGAAAAAUUUCUAGGUAAGACAUUGCCUUAGGUAAGACAUCAAAAUCAAAAUCAAGAUCAAAUCAUUUCCUGCUUACUUUAAACGUACACGAGAUACUGGCUUAGGUAAUACAUCUAAUGCAGUUAACUAGGUAUCUAACUUAAUAGACAGACAUGCAAACAUUGUUCAUACAUAACUGAUCUGUCGUGAUCCAUUGUAGCAAAUUAAACUAGUUUCAUACUUAAAGAGCUUGAAUACGAGCAACUCUGUUAUGUUUUAAGUACUUUUUCCAAUUUAGUUUUAAUUUAAUGAAAAGUGUAAUUUGAGUCAUUUUAUGACCUUAGGGGCCAAAUGUGGGCUAAAUGAGGGCUAACGUACCUAAUGAGUGUGUAGGACACCAUUCAAAGGCAUAAGAGCUCGACACUAGUCGCCAUGUUGCAACACGGGAGUCCAAUGUUGUAACGUAAGGAGUAGAAUACAAGAAUUCCAAGGCUACCUUUGGUGUUGCGACACACACCUGAAGCUGAACUUGAGCCAAACAAACUGCCUUCGAUGUUGUGACAUAGGCACUAAAUGUCACAACACCAGCCUUACAUGGAAAAGAAUUACGAGAUAAGGGCAUUUUGGUUCACAUAAUAUAUUUUUAUGUAAAAACGUCAGCGAACCUAGGGCUAAGAACAACAACCAACCCUAACUCUAUAAAUAGACUCUUUAGACACUUAUUUAGGGAGGAUUUUUGUAGUGUAUAAUUUUCCUUGUAAUUUAGUUUUCAAUUUUCAGUUUCUUUUAGGUUUUAGAUAUAUUUUUAGUUGUUUUGUUCGUGUCCAACAUAGAAUCUGAUUUGUGGAUUCGUCCAAACUCUCUUUGGAUUCUCUUAAACAUUAUUCUUGAUUUAUUCUUUAUAUUUAUUUUAUUUAUCAAGCUUACAGUGUUUAUGGAUUCCAUAAGGAACUAAUCCUCUUAUGGGGGAUUAGUAAAUGGAAAUGUGAUUAAUUAUUACUAUGUAGGGUUUUCUUAGCGGAUCAGCUAUUUGGGGAUAGGAAAAACUAAAACCCUAGGCCUGACAACCUCAGGAAGUCAUCUAGGUAGGAAUUAACCCUAAAUUUUUAUUGCCUAUUCGUGAACCCCUUACCUUAAACCGGUUUAGACUGUGAGGUCGAGAGAUAAGUAGUUCUUAUCGAGCAGUUAGUUUAGUGGAAGAUCGAGAGAUUUUGCUAGGAUAACGACUAGUUGAUUGAGUAGAAACCUGAAAUAGGAAUUAGUUAUGAUCAUUGAAGCGACCUAAUCUCCCAUGCUUAGAAUUGAUUGAGUUUAAAGAUUAAGAUUUCUUUUGUCACUAUUUCUACAUGUUAUUUCUUUCCUUAAAUUUAUAGAUAAUUUCUUUAUUUUAUUCUCAUCGUAAUAUAAUUUAUUUCAAGUACUAAUUAGAUCUAUUUUCAUUUAGGUUAAUAUUAAUUUAGUACUCGCCUUCCUUGGGUACAAUCCUUGGAGUACUCACCUAUUUCGUUGUAACUAUAUGAUAACCUGACCCAUAUACUUGCAGACAUCGCCUCAAUAUUAUAUCUUUAGUUGCAAUAAUCACACUUUAGACGUUAAUACGUAUAGAGGCGGUCAAUAAUAGAUAUAUACGCAGUUUCACACUUGACAAACUUACAUGCGAACAUAGUUCGCCAAAAACACAACUAAAUUAUUGAGAUGGCAAACAACAGAGGGAUGAUCCAAGGCGUAAUCCUGCAAAAGAUACAGUUGAACCAAGGUGAUAUUUUUCCUAAUCCUUCUGCAUUCAAAAAAUGACACAAACAUCUUCUAAUACUUGGUGAACUUACCUUAUGUAACAGUCCGUUUUUGGGUUAAAAUGGAACAGUGGUUUUGGGACCACAAAUCUGAAGUCAAAAUAUUUAUUUUAUUAUUUUAAUAAGGUCUACAUCAUGAUAGGUUAAUUACGUUAAAGUUUCGUAAAGAAAUUUUGUUGUUUAAAUGCUUAAUUCGGUAAAAAGGACUAAAUCGUGUAAAGCGCAAAAGUAGUGUUCUAUUAGUUAAAGGUAUUAAAUAGCUAUAGAACCUUAAAGUUAAGGUCCUUAUGUGGUUAUUAACCCAUUUAUAAGAUAGUGGAAGUUAGUGGCGUGGCAUUUGGAGUAGUUGUUAAAGUUUAUUAAGGUUAAAAAUGUAAAUUAUUAAUAAAGGUUAAUUAUAAUAAAACAAACAAAUUUUAGUUGCUUCCAUCUUUUUCAACUACUGAAAUUUGAAGUUGGCAGAAACCAUUUUAGGGUUUGAGGCAUUCAGAACUUUUAAGCCAAAUUGUAGGUCCAUUUUUGCUCGAUUUUUAAUGAUUUCUAUGUUUUUGUGAUCGUUACAACUUAAUCUAGCUAGCCCAUAUCUCUGAUUUCAAAACUGUUAAAGUAUUUGGAUGUUGACAUUGUUAAAUGCAUGAGUCUUUUGUUAGUUAAUGAUGGAAAAUAAGUCGUUGUUAGAUGUACAAGUUUUGUAAAGUAAAUUUUGGUAAAAAUGUUAGUUUUGGAUUAAAUUGUGAAAUAUGAAAAUUUAGUGGUUGAAUUUUAAAAUAAAUGAAAAAUAUGGAUGAUAAACUAUAAUUUAUACAUAUUUUUACUUCAUGCUUGGCAUAUUUAUGAAUGAUUUUCCUUGGUUUUAGUGAAUUCGAUGCUCCUAAACCUUUAAUUUCAUGUUUUAUACUCAGGAGAGCUUAGGUAGCAAAAAGAGCAAGAAACGGGCCAAAAAUGGACAAAUUGGGCCUAAAUCAAUGUUUCACAUGGCCUAGGCACAUCCACACAGGUAAACCACAUGCCCGUGUGAGGCACACAGGCAGGCCACAUGCCUGUGUGUCAUGGCCGUGUCAACAUUAAUCCAAGUCAGAAUUGCAUACGGUUUGAGCACUUGCACACGGGCGUGACACACGGCCGUGUUCCUGUCGAGCCCAAGUCUAGUUCUACUCGAAAAAAGCCACUUUUUAGGGUUUGAAAGCAUUCUAAAACCUAUAUAAACACCCUAGAAAAGGAUGAGGGGGACACGCGGAGUUGGAGGCAGAAUAUAUUCAAGAACAACCAUCGGAAUCACCUCAGAGCCAGGACCUACAUCAAGACUGAAGAUUUCCAUCCAAUUUCCUAGAAGUUCUUUGGGUUUCUUUAUGUUUUGUUGUUCUCCAAACUUUGAGAUGUUUUCCAUUAUUAUUAUGAACUAAAGUCCCUAAAUACCUAAAGGAGAUAAAACCUAAGACGAAUCUCAUUACUCUUUGAUUUAUAUGAUAAAUAUUUGUUCUUAUUCUCAAUUGUGAAUUUUAAUCCUUGCUUUAAUAUUCCAGGAUAUUAAUUCAGGUUUUUGAUGUGCUUAUUCAGUGGAGGAAAAGUCCCUAUUUAAGAGUAGAUCAUUCAUAAUUAAGCGGAGUUGCAUGCAAUCCUAGAGAUAGGAUGACAUAAAUCUGUCGGAUUAGAGUCAAAUCUAAUAAGGGAAUCCAUAGAUCGAGUUAAUGCGACAAUAGGGGUUUUAAUUAGAAAGAGAUUUCAAUUAAUCAACCUAGAGUCAGUUGUUUUUAGUCUCAAAAGGGAUAUUAACAUAAAUCAGGGAUUUUUACGGAAUAAGUCAAGUGAACAAAUCGUCUAAGUCAAAGGUAAUAAGUGAAGUCUAGGUGGAUUCUUCCUUCGGUAUUGUCUUUUCCAUUGGUUUUCCUAAAGUAUUUUCCAACUUUCAUCUCUGUCGUAAUCUUAGUUAAUUAGAUAAUUAGUUUAGUUUAAAAACAUUCUCUUAAAUUUUAGGCUAGAUAAUAAAAAGAUAGUAAUUACUAGUACUUUUAGUCCUCGUGAAUACGAUAUUUUCGGUCUCACCAUAACUGUACUAUUGUUCGAUAGGUGCGCUUGCAUUAAGUCAAAUUUUGUAGUUACUUUUACGACCAUCAAGUUUUUGGCGCCGUUGCUUGGGAAUAAGAUAUUAGGAAUGCUUAAUUUUUAUUACUUUAGCCAUUUUUUUAUUUUUAUUGCAAAUUACUUUUAUUUUUAAUUUUGCUUAAAUUAUUAAAUUUUCUUUUAUUUACUUCUGGCAGGUUUUUAUAGUUUAUGACUAGAAGAAACUUGUCGGGACCUCUACUUUUUGAUAGUGAGAUCGAAAGCACAGCUCGCAGAAAUCAAAGAGAAAUAAGGCAAAGCCUACGAUACAUAGAGGAAGGGCAAGAAGACGGUAUUCUAACCACAACCGAGGAGAUGGCUGAUAAUCAAAAUAGUCUGUUACCUCUUGUGGUUGCUGCAAACCCAGUAAAUCAGGAUCCUACUCCUCGUACUAUGUAUGAUUAUGCUAAACCUACUUUAACAGGAACUGAAUCGAGUAUAGUUAGACCUGCUGUCGCUGCAAAUAAUUUUGAACUGAAACCUAACACAAUUCAGAUGAUACAACAGUUUGUUCAGUUUGAUGGUUUGCAGGACGAGGAUCCAAACACUCAUUUAGCAAACUUCCUGGAAUUUUGUGACACUUUUAAGAUCAAUGGCAUUUCUAAAGAUGUCAUUCGCCUUUGGAUGUUUCCAUUCUCAUUGAGGAACAAAGCUAAAUAGUGGUUAAACUCGUUACCACGAGGGUCAAUCACAACUUGGGAACAAAUGACCGAAAAAUUUUUACUGAAAUAUUUUUCGCCGGCUAAAACAGCUAAACUAAGGAAUGAUAUUUCUUCUUUUGUGCAGAUAAAUUUAGGAACACUUUAUGAUACAUGGGAGAGAUACAAGGAUCUAUUGAAAAGGUGCCCUCACCAUGGGUUGCCCUUUUGGCUACGAGUUUACACUUUCCAUAACGGUUUGAAUCCCUCAACUAGACAGAUGAUUAACGUAGCUGCUGGUGGGACUAUUAAUAAUAAGACACCUGAAGAGGCUUAUGAGUUUAUAGAAGAGAUGUCACUGAAUAAUUAUCAAUGGCAAGUCAUGAGGACAAAGCCAACAAAAGAAGCCGGCGUUUUUAACGUCGAUUCAGUUACUAUGCUAUCUAACCAGGUAGAACUUUUGAAUAGAAAAAUUGAUGGUUUACUUGGCUCUUCAUAGGUUCAUCCAGUAAUGCAGUGCAAUGCAAAUGGAGGUGGAACGAGCAAUUUAGACUAUCUAUCCUAAGGCCCUAACAUGGAGAAUGAGCAAAUGAACUAUAUGGAUAAUAAUCCUUAACCCCAAAAUAAUCUUUAUAAUAACACUUAUAAUGCAGGUUGGAGGAACCACCCAAAUUUUCAUGGGGAGGCCAAGGAAAUCAAAGACCACCACCCCCGCCAGCUUCCAACAACAACCAUACCAGUCAGAGAAAAAAUUGAACCUUGAGGAGAUGAUGACAAAAUUUAUCUCAGUAGCAGAAACUCGUUUUCAGAAUACUGAAAUCGCACUUAAAAAUCGGCAAGCAUCAAUUCAAGGACUCGAGAAUCAAAUAGGACAGCUAGCUAAGAUGAUUUCAGAGAGACUACCAGGGAGCUUACCUAGAAAUACCAAACCCCACCCAAAGGAACAUGUAAAAGCAGCUACAUUAAGGAGUGGGAAGGUGUUAGCUGAAUUUGAAAAGAAGCUUCAACUAGAACCUGAUAGAAUGAAAGGUGAGGAAGAAGAACCCGAAAACAAUGAAAAACCUAUGUUGAGGGAAUAUAAACCACCAAUCCCAUACCCAGCAAAGUUGAAGAAAGACCGCAUGGAUGCACAAUUCGGUAAAUUUCACAAAAUUUUUAAACAAUUACAUAUUAAUUUACCUUUUGUUGAAGCUAUCUCACAGAUGCCUACAUACGCAAAAUUUUUGAAGGAGCUUUAACAAAUAAGAGGAAAUUUGAAGAAUUGUCUACGGUAGAACUAAACGAGGAAUGCUCAGCAAUACUCCAAAAUAAACUGCCAACCAUACUAAAAGAUCCAGGAAGUUUGACUAUUCCUUGCUUAAUUGGUAGUUUAAAUGUUGAAAAGGCACUAGCUAACUUAGACGCUAGCAUUAAUUUAAUGCUUUAUAAAAUGUUCAAGCAACUUGGUCUUGGGGAACCAAAACCUACUAGGAUGAGCAUCCAACUAGCUAAUAGAUCUGUUAAAUAUAUUAGGGGAAUUAUUGAGGAUGUACUCGUUAAAGUAGAUAAAUUUAUAUUCCCUGUUGGUUUUGUUGUGCUUGACAUGGAUGAGGAUGUUGAGGUACCUUUAAUUUUAGGUUGUCCAUUUUUAGCCACUACUAGGGCUGUUAUUGAUGUGGGUGAUGGUAAACUUGUACUUAGAGUGGGUGACGAAGAGAUUAUUUUUAAAAUUUAUGAUGCCAUGAAAUUUUCUAGGGAACAAGAUGAUUCUUGUUAUUUUAUUAACUCUAUUGAUCAUAUUACUCAAGAUCCUUUGCAGGAAAUCGUACAUAAGGACAUGUUGGAUCUGUGUCUUGCUCAAGGAGAAGAGGUAAAUGAUGAUGAUUCUACGAUAGGUAAAUAGAAGCUGAAAUGAAUUCCAAUGAGCCUUCAUUGAGACAGAAGAGCUAUGAGGGUAUUGAGGUAAACAAUGAAUUAAAAUUAAAGCCCUCUAUUGAAGAACCACCUAAGUUGGAAUUAAAGCAACUACCAAAUCACCUAUAAUAUGUGCUUCUUGGAGAUAAUUCCAUAUUACCAGUAAUUAUUGGUUUGAACUUACAGCCAACAGAAAAGGAAGAAUUACUUCAAGUAUUAAAGGAAUAUAAAAGAGCCAUAGCUUGGAAGAUUUCUGACAUAAGAGGGAUCAACCCUUCUUUUUACACACAUAAAAUUUUAAUGGAAGAUGAAUACAAACCCUGUGUGCAAGCUCAAAGACGUUUAAAUCCUAAUAUGAAAGAAGUCGUAAAAGCCGAGGUAAUUAAACUUCUAAAUGCCAGAAUUAUUUAUCCUAUUUUUGACAGCUCUUGGGUGAGUCCUGUGCAGGUUGUUCCUAAGAAAGGGGGCAUGACUAUUGUAGCCAAUGAGAAGAACGAAUUAAUUCCAAUGCGAAUAAUCACAGGAUGAAGAGUUUGCAUUGAUUAUAGGAAAUUGAACGAUGCCACAAGGAAAGAUCACUUUCCCUUACCAUUCAUUGAUCAGAUGUUGGAGAGGUUAUCUGGGCAUAUGUAUUAUUGCUUUCUAGAUGGACUUUCUGGUUAUUUCCAAAUCCUAAUAGCUCUUGAAGACCAAGAGAAAAUGAUGUUUACAUGUCCAUACAGUACGUUUGCUUAUCGACGAAUGCCUUUUAGAUUAUGUAAUGCUCUUGCUACUUUUCAGCGAUGCAUGUUGGCCAUCUUUGAUGAACUCGUGGAAGACAUUAUGGAGGUAUUUAUGGAUGACUUCUCGGUAUUCGGUAACUCUUUCCAUCUUUGCCUUAAAAAUUUAAAAUGAGUUUUAAUGAGAUGUGAAGAAACAAACCUUGUACUGAAUUGGGAAAAAUGUCAUUUCAUGGUUCGUGAGGGGUUUGUGUUAGGUCACAAAAUUUCUAGCAAGGGAAUCGAGGUUGAUAAAGCAAAAGUUGAAACCAUUGAGAAACUGCCUCCCCCUAAUUCAGUUAAGGCUAUUCGAAGUUUUUUAGGUCAUGAUGGAUUUUAUAGGAGAUUUAUUAAAGACUUUUCUAAAAUAGCUAAGCCUUUAACAAAUUUGCUAGAAAAAGAUGUGCCUUUCAAUUUUAGUCAGGAUUGUUUAGAAGCGUUCAAUACUCUUAAGGAUAAAUUAAUUAAUGCUCCGAUUGUAGUUGCACCUGAUUGAAAUUUACCCUUUGAAUUAAUGUGUGAUGCGAUUGAUUUUGCAGUAGGUGCGGUUCUUGGGCAGCGGAAAGACAAGCAGUUUCAACCGAUCUAUUAUACUAGUAAAACUUUGACAGCUGCUCAAGAAAAUUAUACAACGACAGAGAAAGAAUUGUUGGCUGUGGUUUUUGCAUUUGAUAAAUUUAGACCAUAUUUAAUAUUAUCUAAAGUUUUCGUUUACACUGACCAUUUAGCUCUUUGAUACCUCCUUACUAAAACAGAUACAAAACCUCGACUAAUAAGAUGGAUUUUACUGUUGCAGGAAUUCGAUUUAGAAAUUCAAGAUAGGAAAGGAGUAGAAAAUCUUAUAGCAGAUCAUCUAUCUAGAUUAGAAAACCCACAUCUCAAGGGGUUUGACGAACAGGAGAUAAACGACUCGUUCCUUGACGAACAAUUUUUUACUGUCUCUGUCUCUGAGGAACCUUGGUUUGCUGACAUUGCGAAUUACUUAGUCGCUAACAUUAUACCGAAACGGUUGACACAUCAGCAAAAGAAGCAAUUCUUCACUGAUGUGAAAAAAUAUUUUUGGGAAAAAUAUUUUCUUUUUCGUAUAUGUGCAGAUCAAGUAAUUAGAAGAUGCAUUACAAAAACAGAAGCAAUAAAAAUUUUGGAACAUUGCCACUCAGAACCAACUGGAGGACAUUACAGUGGGACUAGGAUCGCACACAAAAUACUCGAAUCAGGUUUUUACUGGCCCAUACUAUUCAAAGAUGCCAACAGGUAUGUUGAUACUUGUGAUAAAUGCCAAUGCAAAGGUAAUAUCUCUAAAUGCGAUAUAAUGGCCCAAACAUACAUGCUUUCAUGUGAGAUAUUUGAUGUAUGGUGUAUCGAUUUCAUGGGUCCAUUCCCUAGCUCGUUUGGGAAUAAAUACAUAUUAGUAGCCAUUGAUUAUAUGUCUAGGGUGGAAGCCCAAGCCUUACCUACUAAUGAUGCUAGAGUAGUGGUGAAGUUCCUAAGGAAACUUUUCUCUUGAUUUGGAGCACCUAGAUCAAUUAUCAGUGAUAGGGUACUCGUUUCUGUAAUACCCAACUUGAUAAAACCCUUAAGAAAUAUGGAGUUUACCACAGAACAACUACCCCUUACCAUCCUCAAACUAGUGGACAAGUCAAAGUUGCUAACCGAGAGAUUAAGCGGAUUCUAGAAAAGAAUGUAGAGUCAAAUAGGAAGGAUUGGGCAAAGAAACUAGAUGAUGCUUUAUGGGCCUAUAGAACCGCCUUUAAGGCUCCUAUAGGAACAUCUCUUUACAGAAUCAUUUUUGGGAAGGGUUGUCAUUUACCGUUUGGAUUAGAACAUAAAGCAUUCUGGGCUAUAAAAUUUCUGAACUUUGAUUCCAACCUCACAGGUGAAAAGAGAUUGAUGCAGCUAAACGAGUUAGAUGAAUGGUGAGUUAAUGCCUAUGAGAACUCACGAUUGUACAAGGAAGUAACGAAGCGCCGCCAUGAUGCUCGUUUAAAGCAACGCAAACAAUUCGAAGUUAGAAAUCUUGUUCUAUUAUAUAAUUCGAGGCUCAAAUUAUUUCCUGGGAGCUUAAAUCACGAUGGUCAGGUCCUUUCGUAGUCCAAACUGUAUUUCCAUAUGGCACAGUAGAGGUAAGUCACCCAUCACAAGGCACUUUCAAGGUAAAUGGACAUCGUCUCAAACUUUAUAACGGUGAGAAUUUUAAAGACGAUAGAGAGGAGCUAUGGCUCCAUGAACUCUCCUAAACAUCCCUACAGAGAAGAGUCAAGCUUAGCCUCUAAACAAGCACUUCUGAGGAGGCAACCCGAGCACUAACCCCACUAAAUAACGUAGUUGUUUUUUUUCUUUUGUUUGCUUUAUAAUCUGACUACAGGUAUUUUCGACACACACGGCCUAGCACAUGGGCGUGCCUUAGGCUGUGGGCUCCCCACGGGCAGUAAACAUGGGCGUGGCUAUGAUCAUGCUAAAAUAAGACAAACAUUUUUCCCAAGAUAGGAUGACACACGGUCUACGAUAAAUCACUACGGUCGUGCGAGGCGGCUGUAGGAUGCACAUAGUCUGUCACAUGGACAUUCUUAAGGCUGUGUGAGAACUCGCCCAAAAUCAAAAUAAAAACUGAAAUCAGAAUAGAACACGGGCUUAGGCCACGACCGUGCUUAAAGGCAGUACGCAAACCUAAUUAAGUGACACGGGCGUGUUGGAUGGACACGGUCGUGGGAGAAAUGAAGAGAGCACCAUAUGGCCAUACGAUGUGGCCGUGUGGGUGACACGGUCUUGACACACGGGCGUGUCCGAAUGCCGUGUGUGAUACUGACUUAAAACAUCAACCCAUAAGCAUGAGCCAUGAACACAUGUGUGUCAAAUAGAACACGGGCGUCGAAGAAGCGAACGAACAUGCACACGGCCGUAUAACAUGGCAGUGCGCACCACACGUCUUGGGGACACGGGUAUGUCGAAGCAGUCGUGUGCGAUCUUGACUACGAUUUCACGAUAAACACGGGAUAAGAACACACCACACGGGUGUGUGGCCCAAAACAGGGGCUUACACGACCGUUGUCCCCAAUUUCAAACUCCUGUAACCCUAAAUUCUCCUUUUCCUAUUUAAAUCUCCCUUUCACUAUUCAUCAUCUUCUCCAACCAGCUACCCUCCUUCUCCUUCUUCAUUCUUCUUUCCUUUUUUUCGAUUCCCUAUUUCUUUCCACUACUCUCCCAUUUUCCACUUUUCUUUUUCUUUUCUUUAUUUUUAUUCUUUCCCUCUCUUCCCCCUCUCCUACCACCACGCACGCAAUGCCGCGCACCAUCAUACCCCAUCAUCGACCACCACUCUCAAUUUUCUUUCUUGCAUCUUUAGCUCCGUUUUACUAUUUUAAUCUUCCAUAUUGAUGUUGAUUUUCUUAGUUCAUUGUCAAUCCUUUAUUUCAAGUUCUAUAUGACUGUAUUAUUAUUAUUACUACUACUCUUGCUUUAAUAUUUUUGAGGUUCCUUCUUUGUCAUUGGUUCAAGUAGAACUUAGGAAUAUACUAUAUAGAUAUUAGGACCAUGUGUUUUAAAUAAGAUUCAUAUUAGCUUAUAUAUUGAGUGAUUCAUUAGUUAGUUUUUAUUUCUUUGGCUCUUUGUUUCAUAUACAGUAUCACCACUUGGUUUUGACAUACUUGAAUAUUUGUUCAUAUUAUCUUACGAGCAAGAUUAUUAUUUUGGACUAUUAAGAUGAUUGCUUGAUUUGGGGAUUAUUUUGAUGAUUAAAACUCGUAUUUGCAGAUAUCAUGACAAACCUAAAAGGCAAGAAAACUGCGGUUCCUACCUCAAGGAAAUGAAAAAGAGUGACAUCUUUCUCGGGUCCCACCAUUGAGAUACAACACCCAUUCCUCAAAUUUCCAUCGGGACCCUAGGAGGAACUAUUCCAGAUCCUAUGGGCCCGACCCCUAGGCGUGGGCCGUUGCAUUGAUUAGACCGCACUAGAGUAGGUCCAUCUAGCUGGUUGGGUUCAAGCCCUCUUAGCCACCACCCCAUGGGACCGAUUCUUUAACAUCGUCGAGCCGACAUACCUAGAGCUCACAUUAGAACUAUGCUCGACAUUUUAGAUGCAAACAGUUAUGGCGGAGCAUGACAACCUAGGAACAGUCCAAUUCCGCCUUGGCAGUCUAGUACGGUAGCUGAGUGUCCCAGAAUUUGGAGCGCCUUGAGACUAUAUACGGACGAGUUCAUAGAGGCCAAAAAUUUUCCUGACCUUCACUGCCACAUCCACUAUGCACUUUCAUCAUGUUGGAACACCAUGAUGCCUACUUCAAGCAUCUAUGACCCCAACCGUUCCAAGGCAUCGGCGCUAGCUCCAGCUCUGCGAUAUCUCCACACUUUUUUGGCACACACAUUAAAAGGGAGACGAGAGAGCAUUGGUGUAGUGAACACUCACGAUGCAUACUUCCUGUGGAGCAUGCGACAGGGGCACAUUUUAGACCUCGCCUACUUCAUUGCCCUUGCCUUUUUCCAUUAAACCGAGCCACACCGGAAGGGAGUCAUCAGCCUAAGCGCAUAUAUGACUCGUCUAGCACGCUACUUUGGGCUCCUAAAUACAGUGGCAUAGUCUUCAUCGAUCACUCUCAUUGGCCAGAUGUCCCCUUACGGCAUCCAAAGUAUGCUCCAUAUGAGGAUGAUUGAGUGUCAUCAUGGGUUCAACCCUCCUUAGUACCGACUUGCACGAGCUACCGAUGAGGAUGACGCCGAGGGUGUUCCUGACGAUAACUCUGCAUUUCAGGAGGACCCACCUUCUUAGCCACCACUGAGUCACCGACCAGUUGAUGCGGUUACUUCAUUGUCUGAAGUUUCAGAUCACCUUCAUCACCUUCAUCGGUUGCUUCACCUUCAUUGUCUGAAAUUCUGGGAAUGAGUCUGGUAGUAAGAAUGUGACGUGAGAUACAACAAUGAUGUCUGAAGCUAGGGCUCCGGCUCGAGCCUAUGCCAUACGUGCACGCAAAGACACAACUUCUCCUGAUGUGAUCAUUGGUAAAUUUUCUCUCUAUGAUACUAAUGUUAUUGCUUUGAUAGACCUUGGCUCCACUCAUUCGUAUGUGUGUAUGAAAUUGGCAUCUAGUAUGAAUAUACUUGUCGAGUCUACAGAAUUUGCAAUUAAGGUGUCUAAUCCAUUAAGAAAACAUGUGAUAGUUGAUAAAGUAUGUAAGAAAUGUCCUUUGAUGGUUAAAUAUCAUUGUUUUCCAGCCGACUUGAUGUUGUUGCCGUUUGACAAAUUUGAUGUCAUACUUGGUAUGGAUUGGUUGACACUACAUGAGGCCAUAGUGAAUUGUAGAUAGAAAGUUAUGGAAUUGAAAAGUGAAAACAAUGAAAUUUUCAGGUUGAAUCAGAUGAUGCAGAUAAGUCGCCAAUGAUGAUUUCUUCAAUGAUUGCUCAGAGAUACUUGAGAAAGGGGUAUGAAGCUUAUUUAACAUAUAUAUUGAAUACAAAAGAAUCUGAAUUGAAAAUCAAAUCAGUGCCAGUUGUGUGUGAGUAUGCGGAUGUAUUUCCAGAGGAAUUGCUGGGUUUGCCUCCAGUUAGAGAAGUGGGAUUCAGUAUUGAACUAAUGCCAGGGACGACACCCAUCUCUAUUGCCCCAUAUAGAAUGACCCUGACUGAACUGAAAGAAUUGAAGUCACAGUUGCAAGAGCUGACCGACAAAGGUUUUGCGAGACCAAGUUUUUCAUCGUAGGGUGCUCUUGUACUGUUCGUGAAAAAGAAGGGCAGCUCUAUGAGAUUAUGCAUUGACUAUCGGCAAUUGAAUACAGUGACAAUAAAAAAUAAGUAUCCUCUUCGAAUGAUUGAUGACUUGUUUGAUCAGCUGAAGGGAGCGACACGGUUCUCUUAGAUAGACUUGAGGUCCGGAUACUACCAAUUACGAGUGAAAGAGUCUAAUGUGCCUAAGACUACCUUUAGAACAAGGUAUGACCACUAUGAGGUUCUUGUUAUACCAUUUUGUGUAACACCCCUUACACGUGUUUGACGUCGGAAUAGGGUACGAGGCAUUUUCGGACUUAAUUACUAAUCAUCGUAUAAAAACCGAUUCAUAAUUAAUAACAUAAUCAAGACUAUCUACAUUAAAUGACUUUAUACAAUAGAGACCUUCAAAUAACAUAGGUCAGUAUGUUAAGCCAAUUCCUAGCAACUUAAUAACAAUUAAACGAGUAUCCAUAUAUGCCAAAGACUUAAAAUACUUUAAAACCUUUAUAUAUCAAUCAAUAGUUUGAUAGUGUGAUUUAACCUCCGGCGACCUCCAACUCGAGCUAACAUCUGAGACACUAUAGGAAAAAGGCAAGGAAGGGAGUAAACAUUAUAGCUUAGUAAGUAAGUAUGUAAAUAUUAAUAAACAAUACAUUAUCAUACUUUAAACAAAGUCACAAUAUGUUCCCGGAAUAUUACCAUCACAAACACAUAUACUGUCACUAUUACAAUCAUAAACAAGUUCAAAAUAAGCUGUCUAGCAGAGUACCAGCAACUAAAUUAUUUAUUUCUGGAGCCACAGAACUUCAAAUUACAAAACGUUAAUUUUCCUUGAAACUAGAUUCACAUAUAUUCUUACCAUAAAAUUUUAAAAAUUUGUGGUCUAUCCAAUUAGUACAGUUUAUUCAUUGAAAUUACCCCUGUUUCACUACUUAACUGUUCUGACCACUCUUCACUACAAAUCAAUUUUCUCCUUGUACAGAAUUCAAAGGAUGUUCUCGUUUAUUUCUUUUGAAACAUUUCAAGAAUAUAAAUUAUAUCCCAUAAUUAUUUUUUUUAAAAUUUUUAAUGAUUUUUCCAAGUCAGAACAGGGGAUCACGAAGUCAUUCUGAACCAGUCUCUCAAAAACUUAAAUAUCUCAUAAUAUAGAAUUCCUUUGCUUGCUCUGUUUCUAUUAUAUGCAAAUAGACUCAUUAAGCUCUAAUUUGAUAUCUUAUUCAGUCUCUGAUUCAAUUUCUACUAUUUUUGGUAAAUUUUUAGAUCCACGUCACUGCAACUAUCCAGAACAGUUUUAUUGUUAAUUUUGAUCUUUCACACUCAAUUGUAUUCAUCACUUUCACAUAACAAUCUUUCCAAUUUCCAAUUUGCAAUCACAUAUCGAGCAUAUUUCUCAUAAGUUACACAUGUAUAUACUUACACUUAUCAUCAAAAAGUCAUACACAAUUUCAUUUAAUCAAUUUCCCAGUUGAACGCUUCUGAAUAAUAACAAAUAUGCAAUGGUAUCGCACACUGCCCACCUUUAAAAUUGAAGCUCUCUUGUACACAUAGUGGCCUUCACUUAGCACCACUCAUGUGACCUAGCUCGAUUGUACACAUAAUUUUGGCUAUCUUGUACAGAUGGUGAACACUUAGUACCACCCAUGUGACCUAGCCAGUUUAUCUCGUAGCUCUCUUGUCUACAUGGUGUCCUUCACCUGGAACCACCCAUGCGACCUAACUACAUAUAUCUCGUAGCUCUCUUGUCUACAUGGUGUACACAUAGUAUCACCUAUGCGACCGAGCUACAUCACAAUGUCUCGUAGCUCUCUUGUACACAUGAUGUGCACUCAACACGAUACAUGUGACCUAGCUACAUACUAUCUGUAUCAUCCAAUCUUUCUGAAGGUUCAACCGGGAUUUCUCUCUCUUUCUAAUACUUGAUUCCAUACUUCCAAUAGUCAAUUAUGAUUCAAAAAUCAGCUACAAUACAUAAAAUAUGCUGAAAUACAAAAGCAUAAUAAAGAUAAUGUAUUAUUUACAUACAAACUUAUUGUAUUAUUUACAUACAAACUUACAUACUUUCUCAUUUCCAUGUCGAAUUAAUAUUGAAUAUUUAAAUCAUCAUAAUUAUACUUACUUUCAACACCUAGGCAAUCAUAGUAAAUAUAUCAAUUUUACAUUGAAACAUGCAUAAAUUAAUGCUUAUUAUACAUAUGAACUUACCUCGAUACUAAAACGGCCAUUUUACCAACUUUCCCGAUUUUCGAUUUUUCUCCCAUUCUAGAUUCAAAUCUCGUUUUCCAGGAUCUAAAAAAUCAUAUUUUACUUAUUUAAUUAAUUAAAUAUUCAAAAAAGUCCUUAACUCAAACUUUGGAAAAAUUACAAUUUUACCCCUAAACUUUUGCAUAUUUACACUUUUGCCCCUAGGCUCAGGAAUUAAAAUUCAUCCCUUAUUCUUAUGUUUUAUGACAUGCUGAUCAUUUUUUCCUCUAUUGGCAACAUCAAAUUCUCACUCUAACACAUAGUUAUGAACAAUAACAACUUUUACCGAUUAAGCCGUUUUACUCAUUUUUGCUUAAAACCGCUUAGCAAAAGUUGUUUAACAUAAUUUCAACCUUCAUAUUCAACCAUAAAACAUCAAAAUAAACACAUUUCACCUAUGGGUAUUUUUCCAAAUAUGAACCCUAGCUUAAAUUAUUGCUAGAAUAAGCUUAAUCAAGUUACCGGGAUUCUAAAAUCGUAAAGAACUUGAAAAACAGGGCUAGAACGGACUUACUAUUGAGCUUGGAAAGUUUGAAAACCCUAGCCAUGGCUUCCCCCAUGCUAAUUUCGGCCUCCAUGAAAAAGUUGAGUCAAUUUUGGCUUUAUUUUCCCUUUUUUAUUUCUUUUAAUUACCAAAUGACUAAAAUGCCCUUAAGGCCUUUCUUUAAAAUUUUGUCCUAUUCAUGCCCAUUUUUUUCCAAACAAAAUAUAAUGGUCUAGUUUCCAUUUAAGGACCUCCUCUUUAAACCCCCAUUUCAAUCAAGUACUUAUGAAUUAGAACACAUAUUUUGCAACUUUUGCAAUUUAGUCUUAAAAGUCCAAUUAAACACUUUAUCAGUAAAAUUACUUAACGAUAUUUUUACACAAUAUUUUAAUCAAUAAAUAAAACUUAAAACUUAAUUGGAAUAAAUUUUUUGACUUCAAAUUCGUGGUUCUAAAACCAUCGUUCCGUUUAGGCCCUAAAUCGAGCUGUUACAGCAACUUCUGCAAAUAAGCCCUAAUAGGCAAAUUGAACAUGCAAUCUAUAAAAUUUCUUAUCUAUACUCUAACACAUGCAUCUAAUCACUUGGUAAAUCAUAAAAAAUUAAUUGAAAUAAACUUUUCUAUCUCAGAUUUGUGGUUUCGCAAACACUAUUCCGUUUAAGCCCUAUUUCAAGAUGUUACAUUUUGACUAACGAAUGCUCCUACCGUGUUUAUGGAUUUAAUGAACCGAAUUUUUUGACCAUAUUUAGAUAAGUUUGUUGUGGUGUUUAUCGAUGGUAUUUUGAUUUAUUCUAGAGAUGAAGCAGAGCAUGCUGAGCACUUAAGAACUAUUUUACAAACUCUGAGGGAUAAACAGUUAUAUGCCAAGUUUAGUAAAAACGAGUUUUGGCUUCGAAAGGUUGGGUUUUUAGGCCACAUUGUUUCAGGGGAUGGUAUACGAAUUGAUCCCAGUAAGAUUUCUGCUAUUGUCAAAUGGAAGCCACUGAGGAAUGUAACCGAAGUUAGGAGCUUUUUGGGUUUAGCCAGUUAUUACAGAUGGUUUGUGAAAAGCUUUUGAUGAUAGCCACCCCAAUGACGAGGUUGUUACAAAAGGAUGUUAAGUUCGAAUGGUUGGAGAAGUGCCAACAGAGUUUCGAGAAACUGAAAGCGUUGUUAACUGAGACACCAAUGUUUGUACAACCAGAAUCAGGGAAAGAAUUUGUGAUUUAUAGUUAUACAUCCUUGAAUGGACUAGGUUGUGUCCUUAUGCAAGAAAGUAAGGUAGUAGCUUAUGCUUCGAGGAAAAUGAAGCCUCAUGAGAAGAAUUAUCCUAUGCAUGAUUUAGAAUUGACCGCUAUUGUAUUUGCUUUGAAGAUUUAGCGGCAUUACCUAUUCGGGGAGAAAUGCCAUGUCUAUUCAGACCAUAAAAGUCUUAAAUAUCUGAUGACUCAAAAGUACUUGAACUUGAGGCAACGAAGAUGGCUUGAAUUGUUAAAAUAUUAUGAGCUUGUGAUAUAUUAUCACCUCGGUAAGGCAAAUGUGGUUGUUGAUGCCUUGAGUAGAAAGUCUUUAUUUGCUUUGAGAGCUAUGAACGUACGGGUAGUCCUAUUUCAUGAUGGUGCUAUUCUAGCAGAGUUAAAAGCUAGACCUACUUUACUUCAACAGAUUUGUGAUGCUCAGGAAGCUGAUAAAGAGUUACAAGUUAAGAAAGCUCAGUGUGAAUCGAACAAUGAAUCAGAUUUCCAGAAAGAUCUUGAUAGUUGUCUGAGGUUUCAUGGAAGGAUUUUUGUUCCGAAGUAUGCUGAGUUGAUUCAAAAUAUUUUGCAUGAGGCUCGUAAUGGAGGUAUGUCAGUUCACCUAGGUAGCAAAAAAAUGUACAAUGAUUUAAAGAAAAUGUAUUGGUGGAAUGGCAUGCAAAGAGAUAUAACCGAAUUUGCAUCGAGAUGCUUGAUUUGCCAAAAAGUAAAGGCCGAACACCAGGUACCUUCAGGUUUACUGUAGCCUAUCUUAGUUCCUGAAUGGAAAUAGGACAGAAUUACUAUAGACUUUGAGAUAGGCUUGCCGUUGACACCAAGAAAGAAAGAUGUUGUAUGGGUAGUGGCUGACAGAUUGACUAAGUCGACUCAUUUUAUACUAGUAUGCAUUGAUUAUUCACUUGAUAAGUUAGUUUAGUUGUAUAUUUCUUAGAUUGUGAGACUUCAUGGAGUACCUUUAUCGAUUAUUUCGGAUAGGGAUCCAAGGUUCACUUCACGAUUUUGGAAGAAGUUACAAGAAGCUUUCGGUAAAAAGCUGAAUUUUAGUACCGCUUUUCAUCCAUAGACUGAUGGACAAUCUAAGAGAGUAAUUUAGACACUUGAAGAUAUGCUUAGAUGUUGUGUUCUUGAAAUCCAUGGUAGUUGGGAAAAGUACCUACCUUUGGUUGAAUUUGCCUAUAACAAUAGCUAUCAGACGAGUUUAAAGAUGGCACCUUAUGAAGCAUUGUACGGACGAAAAUGUUGUACACCGUUGUAUUGGACUAAGCCGAAGGAGAAUAAGAUUCAUAGGAUAGAUUUGAUUAAGAAAAUCGAGGAAAAGGUGAAAGUAAUUCGUGAUUGUUUGAAAGUAGCGUCGGAUAGACAAAAUUCGUAUGCGAAUUUGAAAAGGAAAGAAAUUGAGUAUCAGGUUGGUGAUAAGGUAUUCUUGAAAGUAUCCCCAUGGAAGAAGGUUUUGAGAUUCGGCAGAAAAGGCAAGUUGAGUCCUCGUUUUAUAGGACCAUAUGAGGUUACCAAAAGGACAGGGCCUGUUGCUUACCAAUUGGCUUCGCCGAAUGAAUUAGAAAAGAUUCACGAUGUGGUUCAUGUGUCCAUGUUAUGUAGGUAUAGAUCCGACCCUUCACAUGUGAUUGUACCGACUGAAGUUGAAAUUAGACCGGACAUGACUUAUGGUGAGGAACCUGUUAAGAUCUUGGCUCGGGAAGUCCAGCAAUUGCGAAAAAAAGUAUUGCUCUUGUGAAAGUUUUAUGGCAAAGACAUGGGGUUGAAGAGGCUACAUGGGAGCUCGAGGAGGCUAUGAGGAAACAAUCCCUAAACCUUUUUAUCGAUAAGAUUUUCGGGGAUGAAUUCCUAAAGGGGAGAGUUAUAACAUCCUGAAUUAGGCCUAGUCAGAACAGUGGUUUCGAGACCACAAAUCUGAGAUAGAAAUAAUUAUUUUAUGAUUCUUAUGAGGUUUAUGUUAUGAAUGCAUGCUUGUGUGAAAGUUUCAUGAAUAAAUUUUAUGCAUAACAUUUCUAAUUGCAUUUUAGGGACCAAAUUGAAUAAAGUGUAAAACUUGCAUUCUAGAAGCUUUAAGCAAGAAAUUGCAUUAGAUAUUGAAUUAGAGGGUCCUAAUUAGCAAUUUGAGCAAUUUUUAUAAUUUUGGACAAAAAUGGACAUGCAUAGGAAAAAUGUGAAAGAAAAACCCUAAGGGCGUUUAGUCAGUUGGUAAUUAAAAUAAUAAAAAGGGAAAAUAAGUCAAAAUUGGUGUCCAUCUUUUUCCUUCAUUGCCGAAAUUUGCAAGACACCAUAGCUAGGGUUUGUUCAACAUUUUCAAGCUUGAUUGUAAGUGCACCCGUUUUAAAUGUUCUUUGCAUUUUUGAAGUCCUUGAAGCAUGAUCUACCCAUUUCUAGCUAUAUUUUGAGCUAGGGUUAAAUUUGACCCAUGUGUAACAUGCAUGUAUUUUGAUGAUUAAUGGAGGAAUAUGAAUGUUUGAUGCAUGAUAAACAUCUUUUACUAGGUGAUUUUUAGUGAAAACACUUAAACAAGAGACUUGUUUAUAAAAGUGUAAAAGAGAAUAGUAAUAACGGGAAAUAAGUGAAAAUAUGGGCUGAUAUAAGCUUAGUAAAGGCUCGGCUAGGCUUAGGUAACCAAGAGAAUGCAUGCAUUUCAUUUUACGAGUCUAGGGACCAAAGUGCAAAUAUGUGAAAGUUUAAGGGUUAAAAUGUAAAAUUUUAAAAGUAUGAUUUAUGGACCCAUUUGAAUAAUGUGAAUAAUAAAUAAGUUAAAUUUGGCAUAAUAGAUCAAGAAAAAUGUGAACCGGGACUUGAUCGAGGAAAGAAUAAAGUAUACGACGAUUAGGCUCGAUUAUCAUCACUUUGUACCGAGGUAAGUACAUAUGCAAAUAAUAUGGUGCUGUAGUAUGUUUUAAUGCUUUAAUAUAUUAUAAUAAAUGUUUUAUUGUAAUUAUGAGUUAUAUGCUAGCCGAUUGUUAUGAAAGCAUGAAUGUUAUUAUGGUCAUUAUCCACGACAUUACGAGCAAGUACGAUGGAGAUACUAUAUGCGCGUGAGGAAAAAUCCCAUUUGAACCUGAGGAAUAGUUUAGGAUACAAGUGACAUGUCACUAGGAACUAAGAAGUCCAAACUCGUUAAGUGGUCCGGGUUCGUGAGAUAUGUGGCAUCCGAGCUUGUUGAGAGGUUCGAGUUCAUAAUGGAUGCGAUUCAUGUAACAUCCAAGCUCGUUGAGAGGUCCAAGUUCAUUAUGGAUGUGUUACAUGUUAUGUGGUAGCCUCAGCUACAUUUGUAAAUGUGGCACUUAUGUGCAAGGUUUCCGCGUAUCCAAUAAUGUUCCUAUUGUUCAAUGGGUAAUGUAAUGAAUGUAAUGAGAGUCCUGAGGAGGACAUAUGAAAGUGGUAUGGUUAUAAAUACUUUACGAUGAGUACAGGUAUGUAUGCUAAACCUAUGAGUAAUACCUUAAUAAAGAUCUAUUUACGAUAAGCAAGUAUAUUUAUGCGUAUGAUGAGUAAGCAAAAAGGUUUGAAUGAUGAAUAGUCUUUAUGUAUAUGUUGCUAUGUUUCUGCAUGUUGAUUCCUUACUACCAUUUCAUAUUAUUUUUAUGUGGACUUACUAAGCUUUAAAGCUUACUCCCUUCUCUUUCCACCCUUUGUAGUUCCGCCAAGCUAGCUCGGGGAUCGGAAGCUGUCGGAGUAUUCAAUCACACUAUCAAAAGAUUAUUGCGUAUAGUGAAAUUAUUAUUUUGGGUAUGGUAUGUGUAGGAAACUUGGUCAUUUUGUGAUAUGUGUCAUGCUAUUUGGCCAAAUUAUGAACGCCUAUGAUAAUGGUAAUUCAUUUUGUAUUGGCCAUGUGAUAUGGCUCAUAUUUGAUCAUUUGAGUUGUAAUCUAGUUACCCAUGCAUGCAUGCGCUAGUGUUUUGAUGGUAGGAUAUGUUAUUGCUUGGUGAGUGCAUGAUAAUGAUGUGAUAGGUUAUUGAUCGAUGAAUGUAUGGUAAAGUACAAAUCUGGUGCUAAAGGAUAAGGGGUGACCUAAUAGCUUAAAAUGACUAUAUGCAUGAAUGCUAAAUUUGAAGUUAUGGUAACAAGUUUAAUAAUGCAUGAAAUUGGUGUGGAAUACAUUUAAAUGGUACAACAAAUGAAUGUGAAAUAGAAUGACAUUAUGAAGAUGUGAGAGUGCCAUGGAGGGGAAUAUUUGAGUGCCUAAAUAUGUCAUGUUGCAUUUUAUAAAGUAUGUUUGAAUGUAUGGGUGAUUGUGGGUGACUAUUGGCUUGGAAAAUAGCCUUUAAAUGGUCCACACGGGUACACAUAUGGGCAUGUGUCUAGACUGUGUGUCAUACAUGGUCUACCCCAUAGGCAUGUUGAAUGGCUGUGUGUCCCCUGCACCUAAAAUUUCUAAGUCAGUAUGCAUGGUAGUAAACACGCGAGUAGAGACACGACCGUGUGUCUCAACCGUGUAGAAGACACGGCCUAGUACACCAGUGUGUGCUUGGCCAUGUGCCCCUAAAUGAGCAAUGUCGUCAUAAAUAGAAUGUCCAGGUUUUUGGACACGGGCGAUGGUACGAGCGUGUCUAGGCCGUGCGAGGGACACGGGCCAGGGACAGAGAUGUGUGCUUGGCUGGGCGAAAACCCUAUAGGUUCAAAAUGAAAAAAAUAAAUUCUAGAAAUUCCACAUGGGUAUAGGACUCAGGCGUAUCCCAAUGCACACGGGCGUGUGAGGCUUAAACCUAGAAAUUUUUCUUAGAAUUUUCUUAAGUUCCUGGUUUAGUCUGGAUUGCUUUUAAUGUUUGUUUUGGACCUCGCAGGUCCAUAAUAAGGAUAAUAUGAUCUUGUUUGAUCAGUUUUAAUUUGGAAUGAAAUUUUAUGACCUGUAUUUUAUGGAGAUGCCCUGUUUAUGUAAGGUAAUGCCUUGUACCUUGUCCCGGUCUCGGGUAUGGGUAAGGGGUGUUACAAAAUCAAUUCAAAUUUAACUUAUUCAAAUCACAUUCAUUCAAAUCAAUCAAAAAACACAUAUUUAGGGUAUUUUACAAAUUAGCUCUCAUAUUUUCAUAUUUUAACACUUUAGUCCCUAUUUCACAAAAUCACAAAAUACACAAAAUUCCUUUGCACACAUGCCUAGUCAAAUCUUCAUAAUGUUCAUAUAAGCCCACAUAUUUCAUUUAUUUUACAUUUUAGUCCCUCAAUUUAUAAAUUUCACAAUUUAGCCCAUUUUACUCAAAUUUAUCAAAAAUUCAAAGACAAAACAUCUUAACCUAAUACAUAUCUUUCAUUUAUUAACAUCAAAAUUUAUAAAACUCAUAAUUUCAUCAAUGGCUCAACUCAAAAUCAUCAAAAAUUUCAGAAAUUCAAACAUGGGCUUGAUAGAACUCUAAGCAAUGAUCACAAAAACGUAAAAAUUAUAAAAAAACGGAACAAAAUUCAUACUUCUAUUGAGCUUUAACAUAGCCGAACCUUAGAUGGUUGUUUUUCUUUUAUUUUUUUUUGGUUUCUCAGUUGAGGAAGACUUACAAUGAGCUAAUUUUAGCUUUUCUUUUAUUUAAUUCAUCAUUUAUACAUAGAUUAAAAGAUUAACAUAUAAGGUUAUUAAUGCCUACUCAUACUUCUAAUGGUCAAAUAUCAACAUUAGGACCUUUCAUUUAAAAAGAUAUAGAAAAUAAACACUUUAACAAUUAGCAAGCCACUUUUACAUUUUAUGCGAUUAGGUCCUAUUAUCAAAUUAAGCACACAAACGAUAAAAUUUUCAUACGAAACUUUCACACAUGGUUAACCACAUACUGUAAAGCAGAAAAUAAUAUUUAAAUAUUUUUCUGACUCAGAUUUGUGGUCUUGAAACCACUAUUCUGACUAAGGUCUAAAUUGGGCUGUUGCAACUUUCCCCCUUAGGGAUUUUCGUCCCCGAAAAUCUUACCGUUGAACAGAUUCGGAUAUUUUUGUCUCAUAGCAUCUUCGGGCUCUCAUGUAGCCUCUUCAACACCAUGCCAAUGCUACAUCACUUUAACUAAUGAAAUUUUCUUAUUUCACAGUUCGUUAACCUCGAGAGCCAAAAUAUGGCUCGGUUCUUCUUCAUAAGUCAUAUCGGACUGAAUCCCAAUUUCGGACGGAGAAAUCACAUGCGAGGAAUCAGAUCUGUAUCGUCGAAGCAUCGAUACGUGAAACACAUUAUGAAUCUUUUCUAGCUCUGGUGGCAACAAUAAUCUAUAAGCAACCAGACCGAUAUGUUUGAUAAUCUCAUACGACCUGAUAAACCUCAAACUCGAUUUGCCUUUUCUACCAAAUCAGAGUACUUUCUUCCACGGAGAUACUUUCAGAAACACAUUGUCACCAAUCUUAAAUUCAAUGUCUUUUCGUUUCAAAUCCGCGUAAGAUUUCUGACGGUCGGAAGCCGUUUUCAAACUAUCUCGGAUCACUUUUACUUUCUGUUCAGUCUCUUUUAUCAAAUCAACCCCGUGUAUCUUAUUCUUACUAAGCUCUGACCAAUACAACGGUGUACGACAUUUUCUACCAUAUAAGGCUUCGUACGGUGCCAUUUUGAUGCUCGAUUGAAAACUAUUAUUAUAGGUGAAUUCAGUCAAUGGUAAAUACUGUUCCUAUGAACCUUCAAACUCAAGAAUGCAACAUCUUAACAUAUGCUCGAGUAUCUGAAUAAUCUGCUCAGAUUGACCAUCCGUCUGUAGGUGAAAAGCAGUGCUAAAAUGCAAUUUCGUACCUAAUGCCUCUUGUAGUUUCUUCCAAAACUGUGAUGUGAAUCUCGGAUCUCUAUCUGACACAAUAGACAAUGGCACACUAUGCAAUCUUACAAUAUCAGAAAUGUAUAAAUCAAAUAAUUUAUCAAGUGAGUAAUCAAAUCGUACCGGAAUAAAAUGAGCUGAUUUCGUCAAUCAGUCAACUACAACCCAAAUUAAAUCUUUCUUUCGCGGAGAUAGGGGCAAACCCGAAACAAAAUCUAUCGUUACUUUAUCACAUUUCUAUUCAGGAAUCCUAAUCGGCUGUAACAAACCGGAUGGCACUUGAUGUUUAGCUUUAACUUGCUGAUAGAUCAAACAUUUCACAACAAAUUCAGAGAUGUCACGCUUCAUACCAGUCCACUAAUAAAGUUGUUUCAGAUUGUUAUUCAUUUUUGUACUACCCGGAUGCACAUAUAAACAACUAUUGUGAGCUUCGUUCAAAAUCAUUUGAAUCAAUUCUGAAUUUCUCGGAACACAAAUCCGAUCUCAGAAUCUCAGACAAUCAUCUUUACUAACUCUAAAUUCUUAAUCAAAAUUUAAAUCACAUUGGGCUCGUUUUGCUAAAAUCUCAUUAUCAACCUUCUGAGCUUCAUAAAUCUACUGAAAGAACAAAGGUCUCACUUUCAAUUCAGCUAAAACCAAACCGUCACCAGAAAAAACUAAAUGAGCAUUCAUCGCACGUAAGUAAACAAUGAUUUUCGGCUCAAAGCAUCAGCAACAACAUUGGCCUUUCUUAGAUGGUAAUCAAUAACAAGCUUAUAGUCUUUUAGCAGUUCUAGCCAUCUUCUCUAACACAGAUUCAAAUCUUUUUAAGUCAUUAGAUAUUUCAAGCUUUUGUUAUAGGAAUAAACAUGACAUUUCUCACCAAAUAGAUAGUGGCUCCAAAUCUUUAAAGCAAACACAGUAGCCGACAAUUCCAGAUCGUGCAUCGGAUAGUAUUUUUCGUGUAGCUUCAACUGUCUCGAAGUAUAGGCUAUAACUUUGCCUUCUUGCAUCAAAACACAACCCAGAUCGUUCAACGAAGCAUCACUAUAGAUCAUAAAUUCUUUACCCAAUUCGGGUUGUACUAACACCGGAGCUUCAGUCAAUAGGGCUUUCAACUGAUCAAAGCUUUUCUGACACUUUUCAGACCAAUCGAAUUUCACAUCUCUCUAAAGCUGUUUCGUCAACGGAGUCGCAAUCAUCAAAAAGUAUUUUACAAAUAUCCUAUAAUAACUGGCAAGUCCCAGAAAACUGCAAACUUCAGAAACAUUUCUCGGAGGCUUCCAAUCCAGAAUAGCUAAAAUCUUCUCGGAUCAAUUCGAAUCAACUUGAAUACUUGAUGCUGACACAAUAUGGCCCAGAAAACCAACUUCGUGAAACUAGAAUUCACACUUGCUAAAAUUCGCAUACAACUGCUUAUCUUGUAAAGUCUAUAGCACUAUUCUCAGAUGUUUGGCAUGCUCAGAUUCAUUACGUGAAUAAAUCAAUAUGUCAUCAAUGAAUAAGAUAACAAAUCGACCUCAGUACGGUUUGAAAAUUCUGUUCAUUAAAUCUAUAAAUAUAGUAGGUGCAUUCGUUAAUCCGAAAGGCAUAACUAAGAACUCAUAGUGGUCGUACCUCGUUCUGAAUGCAGUUUUUGAAAUGUCUGAGUCUUUCACUCGCAACUGUAAUAGCCCAAUCUUAGAUCUAUCUUUGAAAACACGGUAGCUCCUUUCAACUAAUCAAAAAAUCAUCAAUUCGGGGAAGAGGAUAUUUGUUCUUGAUAGUUACUUUGUUCAAUUGAUGAUAAUCAAUACACAUUCUCAUCUUGCCGUCUUUUCUUUUCACAAACAUAACAGGAGCACCCCAAGGUGAAAAACUCGAUAUUUCGAAUCCUCUAUCAGUCAAUUCUUGCAACUGAGACUUUAAUUCUUGCGACUAGGUCAGAGCCAUUCUAUACGGAGCUAUCAAAAUCAGAGUAGUUCCCAGUACUAACUCAAUGCCAAAUUCAACUUCUCGAAUGAGAGGUAAUCCUGAAGGUUCUUCAGGAAACACAUUAGGGAAUUCACAGACAACAGAAACGGAUUCAAUUUUCUUUUCUGUUACUUUUGAAUCGAUCAUAUAGGCAAAAUAGGCUUCACAACCUUUUCUUACUAUACUCAGAGCUUUCAUCGAAGAUAUCACAGCUGACAACCCAUUCAAAUCACUAGAUUCAAUUCGAACUAUUUCAUCAUUCUUGCAUCUGAAAUCAAUAGUUUUCCAUUUGCAAUUCAUAAUAGCAUCAUGCAAAGUUAGCCAAUCCAUACCUAGAGUUAUAUCAAACUCAUCAAAAGGUAAUAACAUUAGAUCAGCCAAAAAACAAAUGUCUCGAAACAUUAACGGACAAUUCUUGCAGACUUUAUCAACCAAAACACAUCUACCUAGGGGGUUCGAUACUCUAAGCCUGUGUGUCUAGGACGUGUCAAAACUGUACGGGAUACUGACUUAAAAUCGUAGGGUACUCUAGGGGCACACGGCUGUGUAACAUAACGUGUGUGUGACACACGGCUGAGACACACGCAUGUGUCUCUGCCCAUGUGGACAAAAAUAGGCUAUUUGCAAAGUUGAUUUGCCACCCAUUUUGGGUCAUUCCUAAAAGCAUAAAACCAAGAACAUUUCAUACCAAUUUCCAGCCAAUUUAUACACCAAAACAUACAACAUUCAUUCCAUAUAAUAAACAACCAAAUUCAAGCUUAGAACCAUAUCAAAAUCAUGCCAAAUCAUAAUUCAAAGUAAAACCAAAAGUUAAGUUUCAUAACCUCAAUUUACCUCAUUCAAUCUUAUGCCAUAAACUUACCAAUUCUCAAAUAAAACUUACCAAAAUUGACCUUUUCAUUUGUUCAUUCAAGAGUGCAUCCAAACAUACCACUUUUGAACACAAAGCAUAUACCACAAUUCAUUCAUAAUCACAUAUAUAACCAAGCCAUAUUACAUGGCUAACUAUACACAUUACAAAACAUAUUCACAAACUUCUAGCCUAUGCAUGCAAUACUUCAAUAUAUACAUUUUCAAAAGGUACCAAAAUAUAGUUCGAUAGUGUGGUGAUGGUCCUCGAUGAUCCCCGAGCUCCCAAUAGCUUCGAUAUCUAUAAAAUAGUUGAAAACACACAAAGUAAGCUUUCAAAAGCUUAGUAAGCCAUAUACAAAUAAACUUAACAUAUAACAUCAAACUAGAUCAAUUCAUUCAUAUAACUCAAUGUAAAAUACAUUCACAUAGCCAUAUGUAUCGUAUAAUUCUUUUGAUCAUAAUACACAUAUGUAUAUAUCAUAUCUCAAUCUCAUAACAAUUCAUACUUAUCUUAUGUUCACAAAGGUACAUCUAGUUACCUUUCAUUUUCAACAUGGUAUACAAUUCAAACGUACCUGAAUCGAAUACUCAUUCACAUAGUCAUUCAUUUUCUCGGAACGCCCGUUGAACUGUUGGGAAUUAAUAAGGAUACUCGGAUAGCUCAGAAAGCUCAUACAAUGCCAAUGUCCCAGAUGUGGUCUUACAUGUGAUCAAAUAUUGAUGCUACUGUCCUAGAUAGGGUCUUACAUGAAAUCAAAUACGAUGCCAAUGUUCCAGACAUGGUCUUACAAGUAAAUCAUAAGUCAAUGCCAACAUCCCAGACGUGAUCUUACACGAAAACACAUAUCAGAUCCUAUGUCAUGACAUAUGUAUAUUAACUAUUCCUAAGGUUCGUAUGGGGCUUUUCAGACGUCGAAACACUGUCGAUGCUUUCACAAUUCCACAUAUUCAUCUUCCAUAUCAUUCAUUUCAUUUCAAUUGCAUAUAAGCAUAAAUAAAUUGAUUCAAACACAUUUAUUUGUAUAUCGACUUACCUCGUACGAAAAUUAAUGGAAACGAGUGACUAUUCAACGACUUUCAUUUUCCCCUGAUCCAAUUCUGUUUUCUUUGGUUCUUGAUCUAAAUCAAUUCAAAUUUAAUUUAUUCAAAUCAAAUUCAUUCAAAUCAAUCCAAACAAACAUAUUUAGGGUAUUUUACAAAUUAGCCCUCAUAGUUUUACAUUUUAACACUUUAGUCCCUAUUUUACAAAAUCACAAAAUACAUAAAAUUCCUUUGCACACAUGCCUAGCAGAAUCUUCAUAAUGUUCAUAUAAGCCCACAUAUUUCAUUUAUUACACAUUUUAGUCCCUCAAUUUAUAAAUUUCACAAUUUAGCCUAUUUUACUCAAAUUCAUAAAAAAAUCAAAGACAAAACAUGUUAACCUAAUACAUAUAUUUCAUUUACUAAUAUCAAACUUCAGAAAACUCAUAAUUUCAUCAAUGGCUUAACUCAAAAUCAGCAACAAUUUCAGAAAUUCAAACAUGGGCUUGAUAGAACUCUAAGCAAAGAUCACAAAAACGUAAAAAUUAUAAAAAAGGGAACAAAAUUCAUACCUCAAUUGAGCUUUAGCAUUGUCAAACCCUAGAUGGUUAUUUUUCUUUUCUUUUUCUUUGUUUUUCAGUUGAGGAAGACUCAAAAUGAGCUAAUUUUAGUAUUUCUUUUAUUUAAUUCAUCAUUUAUACAUAGAUUACCAUUAUGCCCUUAAUUAAUAAACAUUUAAAACAUUAACAUAUAAGGUUAUUAAUGUCCACUCAUACUUCUAAUGGUCAACUAUCAACAUAAGGACCUUUCAUUUAAAAAGACAUAGUAAAUAAGCACUUUAAGAAUUAGCAAGCCAUUUUUACAUUUUAUGCAACUAGGUCCUUUUAUCAAAUUAAGCACAUAAACGAUAAAAUUUUUAUACGAAACUUUCACACAUGCUUAACCACAUAAUGUAGACAUAAAAAAUAAUUUUUAAAUAUUUUUCUAACUUAAAUUUGUGGUUCCGAAACCAUUAUUCCGACUAAGGUCCAAACCAGGCUGUUACAGGUGAGGAGAUGAAAAAUUAUGGCCCCAUCCAAGAAUAGACUACCAUUGCCCACAACAACAAUAUAGGAAAUGUAGUGAAUUGAUUUAGAAAUAUGUUCUUUGUAUUGAUGACUCAACUAUUAAACCAAUUCAUGGGAAAUGAAUAACAACAACCACAACACCCUCUUCAACCACAACCUAAAGUGGUUCGCUUGACUCAGCUUGCUCCUCUUGUACAUGCUACGACUCUCUCUAAGGCUGAUCUCAUUCAAAAGAUUUGAAAAAAAGGUACCAAGGAAUUUCUUGGUGAUAAAGGGGAUGACCCUACUAUAGUUGAGUAGUGGUUGUCUCAGUUGUGUAGAGUUAUUAACGAACUAAUAUGUAACCAUGAAGAUAGUCUUUGAUUUGCCGUAUCAUUAUUGGAAGAAGAAGCCUACCAAUGGUGGGAAUCCUUGGUUAGUGUUACCCGAGAAUCAAUGAUCAAAUGAGAUUUCAUCCUAGAAAAGUUUAGAGAGAGAUAUGUCAAUUAGAUAUUUGUAGAGUAGAUGUUAGAGGACUUCUUGUAUUUGAAACAAGGAAGAAUGUAUGUUAUGGAGUAUGAGCGUGAAUUCUUCUACGUCAGUCGCUAUGCUAAAAUAUGUUUUAGAUGGAGAAAGAUAUGUGUGAUAAGUUUGAAUGAGGCCUUAAAGAAAACAUCUGAGCUUUGGUGGUAGCUUCUGAAUGUAAGUCUCUGGUAGAAAUGACAGUUAAGUCCUACAAGAUGGAAUUGAUUAUCAGGGAUAGAAUAAAAAAUUUUGAGAAAGAAAGAAUGAAAAGAGGCAAUUCAAGUUUUCCAUAUCCAUCUCGUUUUAAGAAAUCGAAGGACUACACCUUUUUAGCUUUAAAGAAAGAUUCACAGUUCACCUGUUACAAGAGUGAUUGGAUUCAACAAGGCAGUUGUGUCUAUGUCAAGUUUUGAUGGUUCUAGAAUGAUAAAAAAGUGAAUGUGACUAUUGUGGUAGAAGUUAUGGUGGUGAGUGCAGAAAGAAAUUGAGAGCUUGUUUUGGCUUUGGAUUCAGAUACCGCUUGGUUAAUGACUGCCCAUCUAAGUUUGAAUUUAGAAUUGACUAAUCAAUUAGAAGCCUUAAAAAGUUUCAAUAGGAGAAUAGACCUGAGAUGGCAGCUAAAUCUAACUCAAUACAUGAAUCAAAAAGGAAGAACUUUUGUAUGAUGAGCUUUGGUGCAUCUGCUCAAGCCUACGUGAUGAAGAUUAAGGAAGAUCCAAAUCUACUAUAGGUCAUAACUGGUAAUUUUUCUUUCCUUGGUAAUAAUAUUUAUACUUUGACCGAUCCUAGUUCUACUCAUCCUUACAUUUAUACUAAGGUUAUAGAGGGUUUUACUCUUGAGAUAGAGUAUUCUAAAAUGAAUGUGCUGGUAACAAAUCAUUUGGGUCAAAGUACUAUAGUGAAUAAGUUGAUCAAGAAUUGUCCUUUGGUUUUUGGCGAACACAUAUUUUUGGUAGACUUUUUUUUGUUGAGUUUUCAUGGGUUUGAUGCCAUUUUAGGAUUAGAUUGGUUGACUAUACAUAGUGCUAUGGUUGAUUGUCGAACUAGAAGUGUAUCCUUAGUUAAUGCUGGGGGUAAAGAGAUAUUGAUGUCUGGUAGACAAUCCGAAUUGGUGAAUAGAAUUAUUUCUACAGUGUCCGCCAGGAUUUUUAAGGGUGUAAAUGCUUUUUUGGCAUACAUUACAGAUAUGCACGAGUCUAGGAGUGAGAUCAAACAAGUACCUAUAAUGAGAGAGUUUUUGGACAUGUUCGCUGUGGAACUUCCUAGGAUGCCCUUAUAUCAUGUACACCCUACAGAAUGGCACCGUUAGAGCUUAAAAAAUUAAAUAAAAAAUUGCAAGAUCUGUUGAGUAAGGGUUUCCUUAGGCCUAGUGUGUCACCAUGGGGUGUGCCACUUUUUUUUGUUAAGAAGAAGGAUAGAUCGAUUUUCCUGUGUGUAGAUUAUUGUCAAUUGAACAAGGUUACGACAAAGAACAAGGACCUUAUUCUAAGGAUUCAAGACCUAUUUGAUUAGUUAAAUGGGGCUUCAGUUUUCUCCAAGAUUAUCCUAAGAUCAAGUUAUUGCGAGAUAAGGAUUAAAGGUGAUGAUCUGCUUAAGAUGGCUUUCUAAUUAAGGUAUGGUCACUAUGUGUUUUUGGGAAUGCCAUUUAGGCUGACUAAUCAGUAGUAUUCAUAGAAUUAAUGAACAUGAUAUUUGGGCCUUAUUUAUAUUAGUUUGUUAUGGUAUUUAUUGAUGAUAUAUUAGUGUAUUCUAAGAAUGAUAGUGAUCAUAAAGAGCAUUUGAGGAUUGUAUUGAAAACCCUACGCGAUAAUUAGAUGUAUGCAAAGUUCAAAAAAUGUGAAUUUUGGUUCAAUGAAGUUCAUUUUUUGGGGCAUGUUAUCUCGACAGAUGGUAUUAUGGUGGAUCCUAUUAAGGUUAAGACAAUUCUAGAAUGGAACUUGCCCAAGAAUGUUUUUGAAGUUCGCAACUUUCUAAGGUUAGCUUGGUACUAUAGAAGGUUUGUGAAAGGUUUUUCAAUGACAGUAUCACCUCUCACACGAUUGUUGCAAAAUAAGGAAAUUUUUUUUGGAGUGAUGAUUGUCAAAAAAACUUUGAGAAAUUGAAGACAUUUCUAACUAAAGCUCCGGUAUUAGCACAAUCAGAGCCUAGGGUAGAAUAUACAGUUUUACAGAUGCAUCUUUAAAUGGGUUAGGAUGCGUGCUUAUGCAAAGAGUAAAGAUUAUAGCUUAUGUAUCACGCCAAAUAAAACCUUAUGCAAAAAACUAUCCAACGCAUGACCUGGAAUUAGUAACAGUGGUCUUAGCAUUGAAACUAUAGAGACAUUAUUUGUAUUGAGAGAAAUGUUAUAUAUUUUUUGAUCACAAAAGUCUGAAGUACUUAAUGAAUAAAAAGGACUUGAAUUUGUGUCAAAGAAGAUGGUGAUUGUGUGAUAUUCGUAACAAAUUUUAAAGAUGUAUAAAUGAACCAUUUUUGAGACUAACUUAUUAUCACAAUUAAGGAAAGUGUACCUAUCGAACAUUAGUAUAGUUUAGCAAGACCGGAUUGUCAAACCCAAAGGAACUACGAGUACUAGUAUUUACUUCAUUUUUAUUAUCUAGCCUAAAAAUUAAGAGGUUUGGUUAUCUAAACUAAUUACUAACUAAGAAUGCAUAGAAAAAAAACUUUGGAAAAUACUUUUGGGAAAAUUCGAUUGAUUGAGACAAUACCUAAGGAAAAAUCUACCUAGACUUCACUUGUUAUUUGACUCUGAAUCAAAUGAUUUAUUCAUUUGACAUGAUCCGUAGAAAACCCUAAGUUAUAUUAUUAUCUCUCUCGAGACUGAUAACGUCUAACCCUAGGUUGAAUAAUUGAAAUCUCUUUCUAAUUAACACCCUAGAAUUGUAUUAACUCGAUCUAUGGAUUCCCAUAUUAGGUUUCACCAUAAUUCGGCAAAAUCUUGUCACCCUAUCUCUAGGCGCGUAAUCAACUCUGGUUAAUUAUGACAAAUUUACUCUUAGACAGGGUCUAUUCCUCCUCUGAAUAAGAGCUUAACUUGAAUCAAUAUCCUGGAAUAUCAAAACAAGAAUUAAGAACAGAUAAUUAAGAACAAGUCAAAUAUUUAUCAUACAAUUCAUAUAAUAAUAACAAAAUCCGUCUUAGGUUUCAUUCCCCUUAGGUAUUUAGGGGGUUUAGUUCAUACUUAUGAAAGAAAACAUCUCAAAAGCAUUAAGAUAACAAAACAUAAGAAAACCCAAAAAUUUUGAAGGAACUUGAAGGGAGAUCUUUAGUCUUGAUGAUAAAUCCGGCUUCUAAGAUGAAUCAAUCGGCUUCCCUUGAGUAAUUCCUUCCUUCCUCCUCUGCGUCCCCCCUCUAAGUGCCUCUUCAGGUGUUUAAAUAGGCUUUGGAAUGCCAAGAGCCCUCAAAAUUGGCCUUUUCUAAAUUGGACUAAACUUAGGCUCGGUAGGGACACGCCCGUGUACAAUUACUUAAGGCUGUGGUCAAGGCUGUUAAAUGGGCACGGGCGUGUGAUCCACUCGUGUAAGUCGUGCUUCAAUCCUGCCAAAGGGACACAGCCGUGGGAUACGACCGUGUGAGAAAGUCUAGGCAGUGCUGAUUUCCCACAUGGGUCCAUUUUCUCCGUUUUUGGCCCGUUUCCCGCUCUUUUUACUUUCCUAUGCUCACCUAAGUAUAAAACAUAAAAUUAAAGGAUUAGGAGCAUAGAAUUCACCAAUUCUAAGGAGAAACCAUCCACAAAUGCGCUAAGCAUGGGAUAAAAAUAUGUAUAAAUUAUGGUUUAUCAGAUGGUUAGAGAUGUUAAAAGACUAUGAAUUGACAAUUGAGUAUCAUCCAGGAAAAACCCAGUUAAUGGCACAUGCUUUGAGUAGGAAAACUGUGGUAGCUUUGCUGUCUCUUAGAGCCAAAGUAACCAUGUCUGAUAAUAGAGCCCUGAUGGUAGCAUUAGCUAUAUAACCAACCUAUCUCUCACAAAUAUUAGACGAAUAGAGGAAAUAUAUUUAUGUGAUUGUUUCAAGCAAAAAAUGAUGUCUAGCAAGGCAACAACUUUAGUGUAGGCAAGACGCCAAUCUAAGGUACAGGAACCGAAUGUUUGUACUAGUGGGAAAUGGGUAGCGUAAGGAAUUGCUAAAGGAAGCUCAGUAAAAACCUUUUUCACUGCAUCCUAGAAACAUCAAAAUGUGCAAAUAUUUGAAAGGCUCUUAUUGGUGGCCUGUCAUGAGAAGGGAAAUUACAGAGUAUCUCUCAACUUGUUUGACUUGUCAAAGAGUCAAGGUUUAACAUCAAGUUCUUUCAGGCAAACUGUAUCAUUUGGAAAUUCCAAAAUGGAAAUAGGAUAGGAUCACUAUGGAUUUUAUAUCGGGGUUACCUUUUAGUCAAAUAAAGAAGAAUUCUGUUUGGGUUGUUUUAGAUAAACUUACAAAGUUAAUAUGUUUUCUUCUAGUGAAUACUACCUAUUCUCAUGAGAAGUUAGCUGAAUUUUAUAUUGAUGAAAUAGUGUGCCUGCAUGGGAUAUCAUCUUCCAUAGUGUCUAACAGAGAUCUAAGGUUUACUUUAAGGUUUUGGAAUCACUUACAAAAAUCAUCGGGAUCUAAGUUGCAAUUUAGUAUUGCAUUUCACCCUUAAACCGAUGGCCAAUUAAAAAGAAUUAUUCAACUUUUAGAAGAUAUGUUAAGAAGUUGUGUAAUUGACUUUAGGAUAAACUGGGAAAGGUAUGUUCCAUUGGUCGAGUUCACCUACAAUAAUAAUUACCACGCCAGUUUGAAGAUGUCACCAUUCAAAGCUUUCUAUUGUAGAAGGUGUAAAAAACCUACUUGUUGGAUGGAACUUAGUGAGAAAAAGAUAGUGGGGUAGGAUUUGGUAUGCGAAACUGAAGAGAAAGUUGCUAUCGUUCGUAGUCACUUAAAAAUCUGCACAAGAUCGACAGAAAACAUAUGUAGAAUUGAAAAGGAAAGAAAUCUCCUUGAAGGUUGGAGAUAAAGUGUUUUUGAAAGUUUCUUCUUGGAAAAAGAUUAUCAGGUUUGGCCACAAAGGAAAAUUGAGUCUAAGGUUUGUAAGGCCUUAGGAGAUUUUGGAGAGAGUUGGAAUAGUGGUGUAUAAGUUAGCUUUGCCUCUUGAGUUGUCAAAAAACCACAAUGUGUUUCAUGUAUUGAUGUUAAGAAGGUAUAGAUCCAAUCAUGAUCAUGUUGUACAUAUUGAAGAACUAGAGGUUGAACUGAACCUGCCCUAUGAAGAACUUGUUUGUAUCCUGGCCAAAGAAGUAAAGGAGCAGAGAAAUAAAAGAAUUCCCUUGGUUCAAGUGUUAUGGAGGAAGCAUUGUAUUGAAGAAGCUAUUUGGGAAUGAGAAAGCCUAUUGAGAGAUCAGUGUCCUCAAUUAUUUUCAGGUAUGAAUUUCAGGGGUGAAAUUUCCUAAGUGGGGGAGAGUUGUAAUAUCUCGUCCGGUGAAGUUGGAACAAUAGAAAUGUGCAAGUGUACACAAUUGCAACAAGUGAUAAAGUGACAAGUAAAUGUCAAGUUAUUGUAACAGCCCAAUUCCGGUGAAAUUAGAGUAGUGGUUUUGGGGUCACAAAUCUGAGCCAGAAAUAAAAUUUAUUUUUAUUUUUUUAUAUGAUCCGUAUUAUAUUAGAAAUGUCAUGUGAAAAUUUUGAUAAGAAAAUUUUACCGAUUAUGUGUUUAAUUACGAGAAGGACCAAAUGACAUAAAAUGAAAAAGUUGGAUUCUAGUAGCUAGAAGGAUCAAAUAGCUAUGAAAUUCAAAUAUUAAGGUCCUUAUAUGGUAAUUAGACCAUUAAAGAAAGUAUGUAGAUAUCUUGGUAUGACUCAUUUGUGGAAAAAAUAAAAAAAAGGCUAAGGACUAACUUGGAAAGAUGAAAAGUGAUUAAAUGAAAAUUUAAUUAAAUGAAAAAGAAAACAAUUUCAUAUCAUCUUUCCAAAAUAUUUCCAUGGAAACCCUAGGAGAGAGGAAGAAGACUUAUCAAGCUUAUUUGGGUAAGUAAUUAAGGCCCAAUUUUAGUAAUUUUUAUAAUUUUGAAACCGGGAUAGUCAAAUCUAUCUAUUUGGGGGAUUAAUUUGAAAAGUUAUCAAAGUAUGAAAUUUGGGUCAUGGAUGAAUAUGCUGGAAAUAUGAAAUUUAUGGUAGAAAAUGAAAGGUUGUUGAUAGAUAAACAACUUUUACAAAGUGAUUUUUGAUAAAAACAUGAUUUAAGGACUAAAAUGUAAAAUUGUGAAAUUUGAUGAAAAAUUCUGAAUUUUUAUGAAUACAUGUGCUGUAAAUUUUGUAAUGGUAUUUUGGUUAGGCUUGAAAUAGGGAGUAAAUUGCACAAAUUUUAUUUUCCAAGCCUAGGGACGAAAUGAAAAUUUACGGAAAAGUUAGUGGCUAAAUGAUAAUUUUGUGUAGGAUAAAAUUAAGUCCACUUGAAUGUGAAAUAUGAUAAAUUGAUGUUAAAUUUACUCGUAUAGAUCCGGAUAGACCAAAUUUAGAGCUAGAACGAGGAAAGAGGAAAAUGUCGGAUUAGUAGAUUUUACGUACACGAACAUUGUCGAGGUAAGUUCGUGUAACUAAAUUAUGUGUAAUUAUAUGCUUGUAUUGAAGGUGUAUAUGUGUGAAUCAUUUGAAUGCUAUAAAUAUGGAAUUUGUUACAUGAUCAAGAAUACUUAACAAAAGUUAAGUCCCGUGAACAUAUCCGAGAAAUACCAGAUAAAUGAUAAUGCCUGACUUAAAUGAUAAAAAUGUUAUUCUUGUACUUGGUUUGAAUAUUGAAUGUAAUUAAAGGAAUUAUUGUAUAAAUAAAUAGAUGAAAUAAUUAUAUAAGCAAUUAUGUUCGAAAAAUGUUAAAUCCCAUUUGAAUAAACAAAAAUCAAUGGAUAUGUGAUUUCCAAAAUGAAUGAGGUCUUGUAUUUGUUGCGGACGGGAUUGAGCUCAAACGAGUAAUCCUACUGACCUCAUUUAUGAAAGGAUUUAGCCCAAACGGGUAAUCCUGAUAUAAGUCCUCUCGAGCAUUUGUUAUGGGUUGGAUUUAGCCCAGACGGGUAAUCCAGAUCAAGCUCUUUAGAGCAUAUGUCGUUAAAUGGGUUUAGCUUGGACUGGUAGUCUUGUUGUUUUUAUAUAUGUGACUUAAGAGUGUACUCUAUGAAAUAGUACCUUAUGGGUACCAUUGGACACGAAUUGAUGGAUUCUAAUUUGUACACCUCGAGUGUACUACCUGUAUAUCCAUCGGUAUUCUGAAUAAUUUCAAUGGGUGAAAGUUCUUGACAUGUGAAGAUAUGAAUAAGAAAUGAGUUAUUACACAUAUCGGCCUGGAACGCACAAAAAUGACGAUACGUGAUGAUUGAUUUAUGGAAAUAUGAAAUGAUGAUAUUGUACUUGGAAUUUAUUUAAUGAGUAUGUACAUCCUUGAUUAUAGACUUGUACACCUUCUGUGUACUAAUCGUGACCUUGAUAUUCUGAGUAAUAUGGGUAAAGUUUGAUACAAAAUUAUCUGAACUCGAGAUGAACUAUUAUGAAAUUAUACUUGUAAUAUAAAGAGAUGAUUUAUACAUGUUAAAUGAAUACAUGUUGUGGAAAGCAUAUGUGCAUGGAAACUUGAUUGUUGUUGAGCCCAUAUAUGUUUUGAUGUUAUUAUGGAAUAUAUGACUAACAAGGGCAAUGAGGAUAUGUGUAGGGCUUGAGGUCAAAUUGAUUGAAUAUGCCUUACAUAGUUAUCUCAAAAUAGGAUGAAUGGUAAAUUAAGUAACAUGUUAUACGAACUUACUAAGCAUUUUAUGCUUACUUGUUUUAUUUCCCUGUUUUAUAGUAAAUCGAAAGCUCGUUGGAUUGGAAUCUUGGCUGAGAUCAUUCACACUAUCCAUCGACCUAUAUCGGUGUACAUGGUAAAUCAAUUAUGGUUGUAAUGGCAUGUAUAGGAUAUAUUGGCUAUAUUGGCAUGUAAAUGUAAAUGAUGCUUGUAAUCUAGCCAUUGGAAUGGCUAGUAAUGGUUUGUUUUGAUAUACUUGUAAUGUCAAACUAUGGUAGCUACAAAUAUGUUAAGUAGUUGAUAAUAUUAUGUCUAACUUGAGGACUUAACUAAGGUAAGAUUAUAGACAUGUAUGCAUGUAAUGGUAUGCCAUAAUGAAUGAUGGAAUUUGUUUCAUUUGAAUGCUUUGAACGGUUGGUAUUCGAUGUAUGCCUCAAGUGCAGGUCAUAGGUGUGUUUUUGGGUGAGAAAUGAAGCUAGAAAUGGUUUUAUUUCGUCCACAUGGGUAGACACAUGGGCGUGUAGUUAGGCCGUGUGACCUGUAACACCCCUUACCAGUGUCCCACGUUGGGACAGGAUAAGAGGCAUUAAUGGACUUGAACAUACACUACUAUGUAAAAUUGGGCCAUAAAAUUUCAUUCAAAUUUAAAAUUUAUUCAAGAACAUGCAUAUCGUCCCUUAUAUGGGCCUACGAGGCCCAAAACAUACAUCGGGGGCGGUUCAGGACUAAACCGUGGACUUUAGAAAAAUUUUCUUAAAGUAGGGUCACACGCCCGUGUCCCCAUGCUGUAUAACUCUCUGUUUAUGACGUCAGCAUAAAUUUAGCAUAAAUUUAAAAUUACACGGCCAAGUCACACGCCCGUGUACUAGGCCAUGUAGCGAAUUUAAUUUUCGCAUUUAAGGUGCAGAUUUCACAUGGCCUAGGCACACGCCCAUGUCCUGAAGCCGUGUCCUCCACACGGCUGAGACACAUGGCCGUGUCUCUGUUUGUGUGUUUACUACCAUGCAUAUUGACUUGUAAAACUAGGGUGUAGGGGACACACGGCCGGACUACAAGCCCAUGGGGUUGACCGUGUGUCAGCCAUGACCUAGACACAUGCCCGCGUGUCUACACUUGUGGACAACUUUUAGGCUAAUUUCCAAGCCCUCUUGUCACCCUUAACAACCCCAACACACAUUUAUUUGCCAAUGGUGGUUAACAUGGCGUAAAAGGGUUACUUAGACAUCCAUAGCUUUAACUCAUGCAUGAUAAAUUCAUAUCAAUUUUAUCUAAUUGGGAUUCCUGGACUUGUUAAGUUCAUUCAAUACAUUUAUUUACAUUUAUUAAUAUAGUGACCAUUCUAAUUGACAUCAUUUAUCCAUCAAACAUAAAUUCCACAUUUUAUUAACCAUUUGGCACAUACCACAAAAGUAAUAACACAUCUUAUGCAUGUAACAAUGUUUAAGGAUUUAAACCCAAUAAUCAAUAUGAGCCAUAUUUCAUGGCCAUAUACAAAAUGGAAUAAUAUACCAAAAGGAGUCAUCACUUUGGCUAAAAAAUAUGACACAUAUAACAAAAUACUAAGUCCCUUAUACAUGCCAUACUUAAAUGUAGUAAACUAAUUAUACCCCAAAAGAUUUGUUGAUAGUGUGACUCAAGCUCCGACGUUCACGAUCCUUAAGCUAGCUUGAUGAUACUAAAAGAAAAGGGAAAGGAGAGAAGGGUAAGCACAGGGCUUAGUAAGUUGCUUGUAAAUAAAUAACAACAUAAGUCAAGAUGUUCAUGGAUUAAACAUACUAUCAAUUAUGACAACAAUAUCAUACUACACACAUGAACAUAGUCAAAAUUGACAUUAAACGCCAUUAAACAUCAAACUUAUCUUACUCCUUUCUACUCAUGCUAAAUUUCCCAUCAUGAAUCGAGUUCAAUACUCGUGAGGUUUACAUACAUACCUAUACCAUACAUUCUUACUCAUAUCACUCCAUUUCUUAACCCAACAUCUUGAAUGGCCCGUUGAACCACCUGAAUACUAAAAGACACUCGAGAUUGUCAUACACCUAUUAAAGUACCAAUGCCAUGUCCCCGACAUGGUCUUACAUGAAUCCACAUAUCAUCACCAAUGCCAUGUCCCAGACACAGUCUUACACUGGCACACAUAUCAUCUCUAAUGCCAUAUCCCAGACAUGGUCUUACACAGGCACAUAUAUCCUCACCGAUGCCAUGUCCCAAGCAUGGUCUUACACAAGCACAUAUAUCAUCACCGAUUCCAUCCCCCAUACAUGGUCUUUCACAGGCACAUUUAGCACGGUGUUACGACAUUCAAGUCUGAAGUAUUCCUUUGGGUCACCCGGGCUUCUGAGACACGAGGCUAUCGUUAAACUUCCAUUAAAUAUCACAAGUUAAUUUUAUUAAAGCAUACAUACAUGUAUCAUAUAAUGUCAAAUAUUAAAUACGUAAUAUUGGAGUUGUUGAAUUACUUACACACAACUUACCUCGGUGCAAAAUAUGGCAAAUUUGCGAUUUAGUCCACAUCCUUGCCUUUUCCUCGGCCAAGGUCUAUCCCUCAUCCCUCUUGAUCUAUAAUAGCAUAUUGAACUUAUUUAAUACACAUAUUAUUCAUUUCAGUCCAAAAAUUAUGAUAUGACAAAAUUACAAUUUUACCCCUCAUAGUUUACAAAAUUACAAUUUUGCCCCUCAUAGUUUACAAAAUUACAAAAUUGCCCCUAGGCUCGUAAAAUGAAAAGUACCAUUUUUCUUAUUAUUCAAGCCUAGCUGAAUCAUUUUCCCUCUUAUACCAACCCACAUUUUUCAUUUAUUCACACAUUUACACAGUUUCUACAAGUUUUACAAUUAGGUCCUUUUUAUCAAUUUCACUAAAAACCACCUAGUAAAAGUUGUUUAUCACACCUCAAACCUCCAUAUUCUUCCAUUAGACAUCAAAGCAUAAGCAUGUCAUUCAUGGGUAUGUUUUUGAACAUGAACCCUACCUCAAAUUAAAUGUAGAAAUAGCUAAAUCGAGGCACGAGGAUUUUAAAAAUAUAAAGAACAUUAAAAAUGAGGCUAGAAUGCACUUACUUUGAGCUUGAAAGAUGAAAGAAACCCUAGCUAUGGCUUCUUGUGAAAUUUGGCCAAGGAGGAUGAAGAUGGACACAAAUUUUGACUAUUUUUCCCUUUAAUUUUUUUAUUAACUAAUGAACCAUAAUGCCCUUCCAAUAUAACUUUGAUAUUUUAUCCCUCCUAUGUCCAUUUUUGUCCAUAAUGACAUAUAAUGGUCUAAUUGCCAAAUAAGGACUUCAAAUUUCAAAUCUCAUCACAAUUAAGCCCUUAAAUCAACUAUAACACAUUUUUCAUUUAUUGUAAUUUAGUCCUAAUAACUCAAUUGGACACUUUAUCGAUAAAAUUUCUCAUCGAUAUUUUCACACAGGCAUGCAUAUAUAUCAUGGACCUCGUAACAUCCAUAAAAUGAUUAUUUCUAUCUCGAUUUUAUGGUCUCAAAACCACUAUUUUAACUAGGCCCUAAUUUAGGAUGUUACAAUUCUCUCCCCUUAGGGAUUAUCGUCCCCAAAAAUCUUACCGGUAAACAAGUCAGGUAUUGAUUUCUCAUGGCUUCCUCAGGCUACCAUGUAGCCUCCUCUAUCCCAUGCCUAUGCCAUAACACUUUUACUAAGGUGAUAUUCUUGUUUCUCAACUGUUUGACUUCUCGAUCCAAGAUCUUGAUCGGCUCUUCACCAUAAGUCAUGUCCGGUCGAAUCUCAACUUCCAUCAACGAUAUCACAUGUGAGGGCUUCGAUCUAUAACGACGUAAUAUAGACACGUGGAAUAUGUCAUGGAUCUUUUCCAAUUUUGACAGUAAAGCCAACCGAUAAGCUACCGGUUCUAUCCUUUUGGUGAUUUCGUAAGGUCCUAUAAAACGAGGACUUAACUUGCCCUUCCUGCUAAAUCUCAGAACCUUUUUCCAUGGGGAUACUUUCAAAAAUACCUUAUCACCCACUUGAAACUCAAUUUCUUUUCUUUUCAAAUCCGCAUAAGACUUUUGUCUAUCCGAUUCCGCUUUUAAACAAUCUUUAUUACUUUCACUUUGUCCUCAGUUUUCUUAACCAGUUCAACC